GGGAGCCCGUAGCUGCACUGACUAGUUACAGUAAUUCUUUUGUUGGUUAGGCGGUUCUUGGCAAUGGCAGCGCUGCGGCUGCCGUUGCCGUCGGCUGUACAGGGCGGCGAGGGGGGAAGGAAGGGAGGAUCGCCGGCGAUUGCUGCGCGAGGAGGAGGGAGGAGAGUGGUGGAUAGAGAAAAAAAGAAGAGCUUGUUCUUUUUGGUAGAAAAUCAGAUUGGUUAUGUGGGGGGAUUUGGAUUCUUUUUGCUCGAGGUGGACAUUCUAGGGGGUUGCCAAUUCGCUGGAUUGGUGGCGAUGUACAAUUCGUUGAUAGUGCUAGGAAAGACUGGGAUUUUGUUCUGUUGUUAUUGACGAUUCUUUCAUUCAUAAUAAGACUAUGUGUUCUUGAUCUGAAACUCUGGUCUCUGCAUUUUUGGGUUGCGUCAAAUUCAGUUGAAUUGAGUGGAUUCUCACUGUAUGUUGUAUCUGGUUCUGAUGUGGUUUCUCCUUGGAAGGCUUACACUAUCGCUCGAAUGUCAAUCUGAUGAAGAACAUAGCUGAGUUCUGCAUUUUUGUAGAAUUCAGAACCAGGGCAACCAUGUCCUUCAGAUUGAUGGAGGCAUGGGCUGAAAUGUUGAACUGAAAAAGAGCAAUUUUCGCCGGCAAAAUUGGCUGUUCCUGAUGUACUACAUUCUCCUGUGAUUGCACAAUUCCUCUGUUAUACUACAACUCUGUUCAUUAUUUCUCUUCUGCAGGAAAUCAAUACUACACACAAGGGGCUUGUGACUGGGGAGGUUCAAAGUUUCUCUUCAAAAUCCCCUGUGCCCAAUCAAUUUCCCGCCUGGUUUAGUGCUACUAUUUGAACUGCCCAUCAACUACAUUUGUUCUUGAGCAACACAUCUCUAAACAAGUGAACAUAUCAUAAUUUAGGAUGUCAAAUCAUUUUGCUUGCACCACAAUCAAAGUGGCUAUUUGCUGUUUAACUUAUCCGCUCGCCAGCUAGCCCAGGCCACUAGUACAAUCAUCCCAACUGAUGAGGAGCUCCUGCUAGCUCAUAGCCGAAGCCUUGAAGCACCUCCAACCAAAUGGAAGACUCCCAUAGCUCCUCCAUAGUUUAUGCACACAUGUCAAAGCUCACCCACCUUUACACAAGCACAAGAAAGGUCCAGCCAGGAGGCAGCCAGCCAAUGAUGAGCUAGGGGAGCUGCAACUGCAAGUCUAGUGCAGUUUCCAGUGCAGCUAAUCAUCGGUGUCUUCUAAUCUUGCUUCCUCCUCUCGCUUUGCCUUUUGGCCUCCUCCGUGCUGUGCACUUUGUUUGAAAUGUGAUGAAUCGUGAACUCCUCCCCUCUCUCGUCUCCACCAACCGGGCAUCAUCGGCCACCCCCCCUUUUUGAUAGCCCUGCAUGAUUGAUUAUAAAGGAAAAGGAGAGAAAAGCCAUUGUUCUUGGGAAAUCCGGUACCUGCAAUGAUGGUGCAUUUCGUGGUGGCGUUGUAGGAACACGUCGUUUUCGCCUAGUGCUGUUUUCAUGUGAGAGAUGCUUUCUGGCCGGCGAUCCAUGAACCAUCCGCCUACUGACGAAGGAACUGGAUCCGAUCCGUUCUGACCUCCGAUCAGAAACAUCGACCGUCGCAGCGGUCGGUAGCAUCUCCUUUUCGAGACGAGAAAUUAGGCGGUGGCGUAUCUGUCCAGAAUCUAACGGCGAGCGGAGGCCGUCGUCGGCGCAAAAGUUACUGCGGUGAUCCGAGUGGAGGGUGGGCACUGUUCCUACUAUCGGACCAUGGACUGUGGCAGCGGCCGGAUUUGGCCGCCAUUACUGGCGUUGGUGCCUCCAUUAUUGAUGGUGGCCACCGGAUUCAGGUGGUGCGGCAGGCGGCAGGAGGUACACGCGCGCAGUAAACUCGGUCGAUGGCCGACGGAGGGAGGGGAGGGGAGGGGAGGGGGAGGGCCGUCGGCGCGCGGCGACGGCUUCGGAUUCGGCGGCAUGUCGUAAUGGCACGGGCUGGUGCUGGACCGGGAGUGCCUGUCCUCUUGCGGAAGCGAGCUGCCGUCUGCGCUGAAAUCAAAUCGUCGUCGUAAUGGAACGUGGCAGCGCUGGGUUACGUCCCAAGAUUUACUGGGAGGUGGCCGUGGUGAAGAAUGGAUCGACUGUUCACGCCUUCCUUUAAUUUGUAGGAACUUUGUAGGAAUUCUAUAGGAUAGGAUUUGCAAAGAAAAAAUUCGCGCUUUGGUUUGUAGAAACGGAUUCCUAUGGAUAGGAAUUAGUCCUUCACAUUUUGAAGGAAAAAAAAACAUUAAUCUAGAGUCAAUGAAAAAAUACUAUCCUAUACACCAAAUGACAUCUCUUUCUCUUUAGGAAUUGAGAUGCAUGUCACCUCACUUUCUGUGAUUUUUUCUAUUCCUAUAAAAUUCUUAUCCUAUGAAUCAAAGAAGGCCUCUGUUCUGAGAGUAAAAGAUGCGCAACGAAAUUUGCGCCAGGUCAAAUUUGGUACUACUCUCUCCAUUCCAAAAUAUAGUGCAUCUUUGGUUCCCGUGCUUCAACUUUGACUAUAAAUUUAACCAACUAUGUCCAUCGGAGGGAGUACUGUAGUAAUGCGCAAAAGAAAAACCGGAGUGUAUCUGUUUGGAAUUACCCGUCCAAGAAAUGAAUGUAUUUAGAUGUAUUUUAAUUGUAGAUACAUCCAUUUUUGUGACAAGUAAUUUCAUACGGUCAAGUUUCUUUGAAAGCACGCAAGCACAUAAACCUUUGUGAAAAUGUCCAAGCCUCAAACACGCACUCUUGCAUGUACAUUUGCCCGCUGAAUUUUGUUGCUGAAAAAUCGUUGUGUUGUUCUGCUAGAAAGAGAGGUUUCAUUUCAUCGGGCAUGAUCCACACCACACUAGAACUGCCCCAGACUAGCAGCUACGUCCAUCGGACCACUCUAGCCAACACAUACACACGGUGCGUUGGUUUGUGGGGAUUCAGAUCAGACCAUACUUUUGCUAACUCGUGACUGACCCUAUUUUGAGUGCGACGAAUCUUUACGAGCUUUAUCCUUUUUCAUGAGUGAAUCCACUUGCCUCCUGGCUUCUGGAACAAGGACGCAUUGCAUUGUGCGUCGUCAUGUCCCUCUCCAACAAUGCAGCAGAGAUGAGAUCAUUGUCAACGCCAUGGAGCAACCUGAACAGCAGAGACUUGCUCUGCUUCUUUGAUGGUCAGACAUUCUGAUAGUGUGGCGAAAUGAACAUGUGAUGUGCGGGUUAGUGGCGAAAGAAAAGUAGGAGUCCGUGGCGCCUGAAGUGUUCGGCCGGCCGGCCGGCUCUGCCUCCCUGAAACGAGUUUCAAAAGGAGGAAGGGGUCCUUCAGAAUUUGGUCGCGCCUGAAGAAGUGUUCGGCCAGCCGGCCGGCUCCGUCUCCCUGAAGUGCCCACAUCGGCACUGCUCUUUUUUUUCGAGGGAGACAUCGGCACUGCUAAUGUCCAAUAGUGAUAGGUCGUUAGUGUUACUAAUACAGCAGUAAAAGAUGUACAGCUGAUGCACGUAUUUGCUUUUUUAUGAUUUUUUUUUUUGUAAAAUGCAGAGAUACAUAUAAGCCAUAACCUCAAGUACACAUUGUAGCAUGUGCAUUUGCUUUAUGAUAAAAAUGUACUACAAAACAAUCAUGAAAAACUACCCUACAUUGGUUUUGGCUAGCAAACUUCGCAAAUUCAUCUUUUUUCCGAAACGGAGGAUAACCCCCGCCUUUGCAUGCGCUGAACGAUGCAUACAACCAUGUUUAUUAAAUUAUUCAACAUGGACUGACAAUAUAAAUACAAGGAUCAAUACAAAGCCAUCUUUCUGGUGACCUAUGUCGCUACACUUACAUGCUUGACGAUGUGCCUUGACCGCAUCAAUGCACACCAUCUAAUCCGGUGGCUUCACAAAGUUGCCGUUGGUGCGAGCCGAGAGCACCAACCGAUCUAGCAGACCCACAACGUGCACCGCAUGCGCGCGCUCUAGGAUCGUGCGCCGUCGUCUCUUUUUGAAUUCAUGACUAGCCCUAUUUUGAGUGCGAUGAGCCUUGAGGAAUCAGUAGCUUUAUCUCUUUUUGCAGAGCCGCUCGACUCUUGGCUUCUAGAACAAGCACGGAGUGCCUCGUCAAUCGUCCUGUCCUUCUCCGGAUCAGAUAUCAUUGUCAACACCAUGGCCCAUGGAACAUUUCUCACAUCAAGGAUCACCGGUGAAGUCGUCUACUGAUCAGUGCUCCCACACGUGUGGAAAGCUCGACCUGUAAGAGGAACAUGUCAUGUGCAGAGUAAGUGGACACAGAGGGGAUGAUUAAAGGUGUAAGUGGAACGACUUGCGAAAGGAAGAGAAAAUUCUUCAGAAUUCGGUGGUGCCUGAAGUAUUCGGCCGGCCGGCCGGCUCCGCUGUCCUAAAAGGCGCACGUAAUAAGCCGUGCUAAUGUCUGGUAGUGAUGAGCCGUUAGUAUUUGAUUUGAAGGCCAUGCAGCACUCGUUGUAGUGCAUAUUUUUUCGAUAAAGAACAUUUCAUUCAAUUGAUAUAUCGAGGCGAUACAACCAUAUUGAAGAAUGCCCGGCCUCUGCAUAGCGCGAUGCACACAGCCAACAUGUCCAACAAGCCUAAAAAUAAAUAUCGUUUUGCAGCAAAAGUAAAUCGGUCCAGCCUAGGGUGGGGCAACUCCUAUCUGGAGAUUACACCGCCAUCCAUGUUGGGAGAAAACCUCCCUGGUUGUAUGCUCCAGCCGUGUAGACGCCAUCAUAAAAAUGUCUCUGUCCUCCGGCCUCUGCAUGAUAGACCAUGUACGGAGCCAUCGCGUACACACAUGGAUAACCUGCACAGGAGAUGAAACACAUUUAUUAUUAAAAAUCACAUCAUUUCUGGUAAGCCACAGUGCCCAACAUAAGGCAGCCGCUCCCACGAGUAGAUGUGCAGAAAAUUGUUUAUCGAUACCCGCAACCAAUUGCCGAACAUGUUACGCGCACAACGUGGGGGAUAUAGAUUUGAAGCUACUUGAACUAUGGCCCAGACUACAUGAGUAAACUUACACUCAAAAAAUAAGUGUUUGAUGGACUCGUCAUGUUGGCAAAAGACACAUGUCUUGCUACCUUACCAGUGGCGUCGUGCCAAGUUAUCUCUAGUUAAGAUGAUCCCUUUGUUUAGAAACCAGAGAAAUAUCUUCACUCUUAGGGGAAUUCUGAGCUUCCACAAUUUCUUGUUAUCACCGGUACAUCAGUGUGGGUCAUUGCAUCAUACAAGGAUUUGACUGAAAAGGUAUCAUUCUGAUGCAAAUUUCAUCGGAACUUGUCUGGUUCGCCUGACAGCUAAAUGGCCUCCGGACGAUUGAGUAAUUCAUUCCAUGCUACCAGACGAGGCCCAAUAAGGUCCAUAAGGAAAGAAAUAUCAGGGUUUUCUUGUCCCAAUGCUUGUUUGAUCGACGGUCCUAUACAAGCUAGGGUAUUGCACCAUAAGUGGAGUGGCCCCAGCCAGGUGUCUUCCCAGAAUCGAACCUGAGAACCAUCCCUAACCGAGAAAGUACCAAAUUGAAAAAAGAAUUCCUUGGCCUUCAUCACGCCACUCCAAAAAUGUGAAUCACCGGGUUUCCAAUUAACCUGAGAAAUGGCUUUAGACCCCACAUACUUGUUAGGAAUGAUUUUCUGCCAUACUCCAUUCUCAGUGAGUAGUUUGUAUACCCAUUUACUCAAGAGAGCGAUGUUUUUAAUCUCAAGAUCCUGAAUUCCAAGGCCCCCUUGACUUUUAGGUCGGCAUAAUAUACUCCACCUAGCCAGCCGAUAUUUCUUGGAUUCAUUAUCACACUGCCAAAAAAAUCUGGAUCUAAAAUAAUCGAGACACUGUAGAACCCCUUUAGGUAAGUGGAAGAAUGACAACAUGUAUAGAACCAUGUUGCUGAGGACGAAAUUAAUCAGAAUCAACCGUCCCCCAUACGACAAGAGUUUGGCCUUCCAGCUGGCUAGGCGUUUCUCAAGUCUUUCUUCCACGUGCUUCCACUCAGCGAUAGUUAAAUGCUGAUAGUGAAUAGGAAUACCUAGAUACCUAAUCGGGAACUGGCCGAGCUGAUAGCCGAAAAUCCCAGCAUACUCAGAUGCGUACUCUGCAGCAUCGCCGAAGCAGAAAAGCUCGCUCUUAUGGAAGUUAAUUUUGAGACCAGAGAGCUCCUCAAAUGCACAUAAAAGUAAUUUGAGGUUUCUAGCUUUAUCUAGGUCAUGAUCUAGAAAAAGUAUAGUGUCAUCCGCAUAUUGUAGAAUAGACAGUUCUUCUUCUACCAGAUGAGGGAUCACGCCACUAAAUUGGCCGGCCACCUUAGCCCGCUCAACAAGGGUAGCUAACAUAUCAGCUACAAUGUUGAACAAAAUAUGGGAAGCAGGGUCCCCUUGGCGAAGCCCCUUCCUAGUCUGAAAGUAGUUGCCAACAUCAUCGUUGAUUUUGAUAGCCACACUACCUCCAGAAACAAAACUCUCUACCCAUCGACACCAUUUUGGUGAAAACCCCUUCACGCGCAAAGUUUGCAAAAGAAAGGGCCAUUUGACUUUGUCAUAUGCUUUUUCGAAGUUUAUUUUGAAGAUGACUCCAUUCAACUUUUUACGGUGGAGCUCAUGCACAGUUUCAUGCAGCACAACAACUCCAUCUAGUAUGUUGCGUCCUUGCAUAAACGCUGUUUGAGUGGGUUUGACCACGUGGUCAGCCACCCCGUUCAACCUAUUAGUUGCCACCUUUGUGAAUAUCUUAAAGCUGACAUUUAGAAGGCAAAUCGGUCUAUAUUGUUGAAUACGACUAGCCUCCUUAGUCUUGGGCAGAAGAAUAAUUUCCCCAAAGUUUAAACGGGCAAUAUCAAGGUUUUCAGCAUGCAGUUGGUUAAACAACUGAACCAAAUCCCCCUUAAUUAUAUCCCAAAAACAUUGAUAAAACUCUGUCGGAAAACCAUCUGGUCCCGGAGCCUUGUUGUGUUCCAUUUGAAACACCGCGGCUCGAACUUCCUCUUCAGAGAACGGAGAGGUUAAAAACUCAUUUUCUGCCUCUGAAACUUGAGGUAUAUCAUGAGUAAUAGACUCGUCGAGCGCAAAAGGGCUUUGAGGUGAAGGUCCAGAAAGCUCUUUGUAGUACUUAGUAAUGAAAUUUUUUAGCGGUGCAUUCCCCUCUAUACGGUCUUCGUCUUGGUCAAGAGCGAAAAUACGUUUCUUUCUAUGUCUGCCAUUGGCCAGUAUUUGAAAGUACUUCAUAUUAUCAUCAGCUUGAACAAGCAAGUCGGGGUAACACACCCACACUUUCUUAACCAGGUCAUGGAAUCCCUCUCUAGUGAGCCAUCCCAGUUCAAAUUUAAACUGUGGACGGUUAGAGCUUGGAGUUGUUUGUCCAAAAUCAGUUAGCAAAGGAGCAUGAUCCGAUAGUGCCUCGAUUCUUUCUAGUGCGUGUACCGAUGCAAGGGGAUAUUUAUAUUCCCAGUCGAUGGUCACUAGCACCCGGUCAAGUUUUUCAUAAGUAGGGAUUGAUCGGGCCCAGGCGUACUGACGACCAGACAAAGUGAGCUCCCGCAGGUCUAGGCUGUCAAUAAAGAGCAUUGAAGAGGAAAGGCCAACCUAGUGUCAAACUGGUCAUUGUUUUUUUCCUGUUGAUAUCUAAGGAUAUUAAAAUCCCCCCGGUUAACAUGGGAUGGGGAUUGUCCCGACAGGUAUUAACAAGCUCUUUAAGUAGAGCGGACUUAAACUCCUCUUGAGCAGCGCCAUAUACAGCCACUAGACUCCAAACAAAGUUGUCGGACUUGUUUUGAAGGUGAAAUUUGAUGUGAUAUUCACCCUUCGAAGUGGAUAAAAGUUCCAAGCAUGUCGAGUGGACGCCAAGCAAGAUUCCACCAGACCCCGGAUGGGGGUAAAACGUGCCAUUCAUAAUCAUAACCACAUAAAAAGUGGUGAAGAACACGUGUCUGGAAAUCACGUUUACCUGACUCAGUGAUGGCCACAAAGUCCAAGGCACGAUCCUUUACAUAAUCGGCAAUGUGUUUGUGUUUAGCCAAGUCAGCAAGACCUCUACUAUUCCAAAACACACCUCUCAUGAUGAACCAUUUUUAUGUUUAGGUACCUUUGCCCUCUGGCAUCCUCUUUUCUUCUCUGAAGUAGACUUGUUUUUUCGUACCGACGCGACAAGCUCACAUAGCAUGUUGUCGUGUACAGUAUCCUUCAAGUCUAUUUUGGUUGUGUCUUUAACUAGAUGGGAGAGAAGCUUGCCAUCAUGAUCGGCAUCAGCAUCCACAUCCUCCUCAUCCGACACGAGAAGAUCAAAAAAAGUAGGCAACCUAGGAGCAACCUUAAGCCGGUCGAACUCCAUUUGUUUAAGGGCCCUAACAGAAACUCUCUUUCUCAUUAUGUCCUAACAAACACCCAAGCUAGCAAUAUUUGCAGAAACUCUAGAGUUAUCGAAGGACAAAAAAGAUUUGUGGAAGGAAGUACCUUCAUAGUCGAGGUUGCGAGCUGUCGUCCUAGUGCAUAUACAUUGGAGAAAAUAAUGUGGCAUCGUUGUCUGAUGCUUCUUAGCUUGCUCUGUCUGGAUUGGGCGUGGUUUCAAGAGCCAGCACCAUAGCUCCAGAUGGCACACCGGCCGCAACGUUGCGAGCACAUCGGAGCAUCAGGAUUGGUUAAGGCCGGCGGAGGCAGUGGUUACGGACACCAUCUAGGGAACCAGCGUACGUACAAAAUUUGUAGAGAAAAAUCAAUUAUGCAAUGAGUGGGCCGGCCUGCUCAGAACCGAUGCAGGCGAGCGAUACCUAUUGCUCAUUAUGGGCGAUGUUUAUUUAACAAUUGUGCGUGUUUCUGGACUACGCCUCAUCCAGUACGAGGGAUGACUGCAGGCUUACAGCUGCUAGUUUUGCGAAUGCGUGCUUCUAGAUUCGAGCACACGUGCACAUGGUAUGGACAGUGAAAUAGAAAAAAAAAUCUUUUUACAACAAUAUUGCUUAGUUUUCUGUCUAUGCCAUUUUUUGGUGAUUAAUUGGCAUUCAUGGAUCUGUGAGAGAAAAAAAAUCAGUAUUUUAAAAUGCUUUCAAAAACAAUAUUUUUGAAGCACCAAUUUUGGUUUUUGUCAUUCAAUAAUGUAAUUUUGCAUGCAUGUGAAACAGUCCUCAAUGUUUAUCUAAAAAUUGUUCAGAUUUUCAAUUUUUUACUAUUUUUUUAUUUUAUUGUUCAUCAUGCACAUGGGAUUAUCAGAAAUUCCAUGUCCAUGGUGUAGUUUUGGAACUUUAGACCUUUGCCGAUCGACAUUUUAGCAUGCCUUGGGCCUUCUGUUUCUUCUUUGUCGAAGGCAAGUGUGAAUUCGCUCUCAGGAGCUCCUAUUGGACGCUCGACGGUUCCACGCUCAGGAGGCAGCCCCACUGGGUUGCCCCAUUGUUGCACGCGGAAAUAGGGUAAAGUUCGCGCUAGUGGUUUUGGAACUUUAGACCGGGAGCACCUAUACGGCGACUCGCGCACUGGGAAAGAAGGCAGCACCCGCCCCCUGGCUUCCACGCGCGACCUUGGGCCAGCCCAGAUGCGUGACAGGGCUCCCCUAUUAUUUUUUGCUUCUUUAAGAAAGUUCGGCAUUUGAAAAAAAUUUAGAACUUAAAAUAAUGUUCACUAAUGCAAAAAAAUUCAUGGAUUCAAAAAUAUUCACAAUUUUAUAAAAGAAUUUUUUUUAUUUUUUAUGGACAUUUUUUCUAUUUUAAUCAACAAAAUUUGAAGUUUGGAUCAACAUUGUUUGAAUUUUGAUGUAAAAAAUUUGAAUUUUGGGUGAACAUUUUAUGAAUUUCAAUGAACAUUUUUCUGAAACUAUUGAACAAAUAUUAUAAUAAAUGAACUUUUUAAAAAUUGAUGAACAAAGUUUGAAUUCGACAAACCUUUUUUUAAUAUGGUGAUAGUUUAAAAAUUCAUGAACAUUUUAAAAUUUUGAUGAACAUUUUUUAAUUUUUAUGACCAAAUUUUGAAUUCAGUGAACAAAAAUUGAAUUCCAAAAAUGUUCACUGAUUUGAAAAUAUGUUUGAAUUUCAUAACAUAUUCACUGAGAGAAAAUAUGUUUUUUUUUGGAAAGAAAAAACGAAAAAUAAAAAACCAAGAAAAAGGAAAAGAAAAAAAGAAAAGAAAACCGAAAAUUAAAAGAGAAAGAUAAGACAAGAAGAAAAAAAAUCAUGUUUGCGAAAGUUCUAGAACUAGAACCUUCCCAAAACCGGAAACGGCCGCCUACACAUCGUGAAGCGGCGGUGCGCGCGCGGUCGCUGGGAUAUUGACCCGUGCGAUCUGCCCUUUAGACCUAUGCUGAUUGGCGAAUAGGAAAAUUCCUUCAAAAAGUCAGUUUGAGCAGUAGCGUUACCUAUCGGCAAGGAUCUCGUCUUUAAGAUCCGAGCCAAGCACAACUAUUUUUCCAACCUUUCUACUAUACAAAAUUGAAUACUAGACCUAAUACAUCUAUAGAUCCCAACAUAGAAUGGCAGCAUUGUCAGCGCCCACUCUCUCUCUCUCUCUCUCUCUCUCUCUCUCUCUCUCUCUCUUACACAUCAAUCCACCAUUUUAUUUCACCUUGACUAAACUAAAUAAUUUAUACCAUUUGAAAUACAAGUUCAUUUUUGAAAUAAUUUAUAUAUUUGAACUCCUAGCACCAAGACCUUUAGAACGAAACCAAUAUUGGAUACAUUUCAAGCACGUUUAAUUUUCAACAUUUCACAUUUCAUAUAUUGAACAAACCUAUUUCACUAGAAAAAAAAUUGUGAAACAAACUUUUUCAGUAGAAAUAUGUGAAACAAACCCAUUUCACUAGAAAUCUAUUUAACCCAAUUAUAUUUCAAAUACGUGAAACAAACAUUUUCCACACAAACUAAAAAUGUGCAAUUGAAAUAUAUGUGAUUUUAUGAAACCGACUGUUUUACAAAUGUGUAACAAUUUAUUUCAAAAGAGUGAAAUAUGUUAUUUCAAAAAUGUGUAAUUGAAAUAUAUGUGAUUUUUGUGAAAUAAGUUAGUGGAAAGUGAAGUGUAGGUUCUGAAUUGUGAAAUAGUUACUACAGAAAGUGAAAUUUAAAUGCAUCAUUGUGAAACUGAUUAUUUGGAAAUGUGCAACAGUUUAUUUCAAAAGAGUGAAAUAUCUUACUUAAAAAAUGUGCAUUAAAAAGGAUGUAUUUUUUGUGAAACAAGCCAGUGAAAAGUGAAAUAUAGGUUCUGAAUAGUGAAAGAGUAACUACAGAAAGUGAAAUUAUAAUGUAUCAUUGUGAAAUUGAUUAUUUCAAAAUGUGAAACAUGCGCUUGAAUUUAAACAUGGUUGAAAAAUAUCCAAGAUUGAUCUCAUUUUAAGGUUUUAAUGCAAGGAGUUCAAAUGUGAAAAAAGUUUCAAAAACUAAUACAUGGUUUAAAAGAUAUGGAUGCUUGAAAUUAGAUAAAGUGAAAGAAAUGAUUGAAUUUAUUGUGUGGGAGAAGAGAGAGAGUGCUCUGCCACAUUGCUGCCAAUAUUCUUUAAACAUGGGAAAAAAUAUAUAACAAAGAAAGAGAAUAUAUGCAGUUAAAUGGCACUAGCUGAUUGGCUAGAGCGUUGCCGGUACCGGUAGUAACCGCGCAAUUUUUCAGUUUAGAAAUUCCUUCGCUUUCUUCUGUUACCGCCAACCGUUCUGGGCCUGGCCCAGCUGAAACCUCGACCGAAAAGGUUCGAUACGAUCUCGACCCGGGUUUCGCCUCUGGCUUUAUAUAGAUAGACACGACUCACCGCCAUCGGUAUCUUACAACAAUUCCCGAAUCCAUCGCACGACCACAGUCGAUCGUCGGCAAAGAGGGAUCCACCAGGCGCUGGCGACGCGCAGCCGAGCCGAACGGCCGGGAGGGUGAUUUUUCGCCUCGGCGGUGCACGAUCGGCCAGGAGGGCAUUUUUUCGCGGGGUGGGUGCACCACCACCAAACCAAACCCAUGUCGGCGGCGGCGGCGGCCACCGGCGAGGAGAUUCCACCGAAGGGCAAAAGGAAGCUGGCGGCGAUCGAGGAGAAGCCGCGCCGGCAUUGGGCGGACCCGCUCCCGAAGCCCGGUACCACGACUGAAGAUGCAGAGCUGCGGAGGAGGAUCAAGACGGCGCUUCUGGGCUUCCCGGGGUCUGGAGCGUUGAGCGCAGCCGAGUUGGAGCUAUCGAUUGAUAGAAUCAUGAAGGAGUCCAAGCCCGAGACCAGGUCUGUGGCCGCCCCAGGCAUGGUCCGGUUCUCGAAUGAAGAGAUCCGUAUCUGGUUGUCCAUGAUGAAGACCCCCACCGUCGAUGAUAUCCUCGGCGUUGAAGCUGGCGGGGUGUUCCCGCCGGGUUGGAUCCACCAGAGAGCUAUAUUAUUGGAUAAGCAAUGCCAACGAAAGACGGAGGGUGGCGAAAUAAUCUUGGUGGACAAGAUCCGCAUCGAUUUGAUCACAAAGGGCUACGUUGAGUUCCGGGAGGAGUACAUGAGCCCUGACUCGGACGCGGACGAUGAAUGCUACGAAUCUGAGGAGGAAGUGACUUCUGUCCUCCGGAAGGAAUAAAUGAAAAGAUGUUGUGCGGUACUGCCGUUGUUCUGAGAAGAUUUGGCUCGAUGAAUCCAACCAAGGGGAACCGCUUUGUCAACCCUAACUUAUAUAGAUAUAAUUACAGUUUUGCUAGAGCAUAUCUAGAUGUGCCAUAAAUAUUGCACAUCUAAGAGCAUCUCCAGCCGCGCCCCCAACAGACCCUCCCCAGGCGUUUUUGCCGCGCCGGCGCCGAAAAAACGGCCCAGUCGCCCCCCGAGAAGCCCGUUUUUCGCCGGCUCGGGCCGAAUCUGGUGCCGGCGGACCCAGGCAGAACCCGGCGCCCUGGGGGGCCUGGGGCGCCGGCACAAGCGAAAAGGCGCGCGUGGGUCCGCCCUAUCGGCGAGUCGAGCGCCUCUUUCCGCCGUUUCUCCCCGCUUUUCCCCAGUCCCCUCUCAUUUUCUCCUUUCCUCCCGCCAUUCUCUCUCCCGCUCGCCUCCCAGCCGGCCGCCAUGGCACCGAAGAAGUACGCCGUCCCCUGCGCCGGGGCAACCGCGACCGCCUCCGUCGCCCAGCCGAAGCAGAGGAAGCCGAGGGCGCCGCCGUCCAAGCCGCCGGGCAUGACAAACGCUGAUUGGAGGGUAGAAGUACAGCGACGGGAGGCCGUCACCGCCGACCGGCGGAACAGGGCCCUCGCCAAGAAGGCCCGUGACAACGCGGCACGCGCGGCUGCGGGUGCCGCUGCCGCUGCCGCUUCCGCGGACCAGGCCGAGGCCGAGGCGGCACGCGCGGGGAUGAUGAAUCUCCCCGGCAACCACGCGCCGUACGCGCCCUGGGGCCAGCAAGGUGUCGGGUCUCCGACGCCGCAGCCAUGGGGAUCGCCGGGCUACGCCGACGGGGACGUGCACGGUGGGUUCAACCCAAAUGUCACGUUCCCCCAUGGACACCCGGCCCAGCGCACGCCCUCGCCCGCCUUCACCGGCGUGCAGUACCCUCCAUACAACUACUCGCCGCCCGCGUACGCGUCCUCCCCGACGCCCCCUCUCCGCCGUUGCGCACUGCCCUUCUCGCACCUCGGCGACGCCGACGAGACCGAGACCGACAUGGAUGACAUCAUCGCGGAAGGAUCGGCCGCGGCCGCCGCGUCUCCCGGGUUCACCGCGGAUGAAGCGGUGGAUCUCAGCGGCGGCAUGGACGGCGAGCUCGGCUACGUCUACGGCGACGAGGAGCAGGAGGAAGAGGACGAGGAGGAGCCGGCGAGGAGGCGCAAGAAGAAGAAGCGGACGGCCAGGUCAGCCGAGCCGCGCAUCAAGUGGGCGUCCAAGGAGGAGGAAUGCCUCGCCGAGGCAUGGAAAGUCGUCUGCCUCGACCCGACCACCGGCGCGAACCAGAGCAUCGACACGUACUGGGCGCGCAUCAAGGCCGAGUUCGACGAGCGCAAACUCGUCGACCCCUACUUCAAAGGCGUCUACAUGCAGCGCGGGUCGAAGGCGAUGGCGAACCAUUGGGGGCGCAUCCAGGGGGCGUGCAACAAAUGACAUGGUGUCGUCGAGGAGGUGGCCGCUCGCCCGGAGAGCGGCGCCAGCAUUGAGGAUCAGGUAUGCCACGCGGUCUCCCGUCUCUCUUCGCCGUGUGCGCCCGCCAACUGUUUGUUCGUCCCCGCGCAGUUGCUGCGCAUGUUCGGCCUGUAUAGGCAGAGCAACAACGACGCCGAGUUCAAGUACCUCCACGUUUACAAGCGCAUUGACAAAUGCGACAAGUGGGCGGAAGUCCGGCGCACCCUCGAGAAGGCCAAGGAGACAUACAAGCCGGACGCGCCGGCUCCGGGCGCGUCAGAAGGGCGGCCGGACGGCAACAAAGGUGCCAAGAAGGGGAAACACGCCGACGCGGCCACCGCUCGCGUGCAGGAAUCCAUCCAGCACUGCCUCGCCGACGCACAGGCCCGGGCCGUCCUUCAUGAAGAAAAUACCGAGGCGCGGUGGUCGGCGUUGACGUCGACAAGCGCCGUCAAGCUUGACCUACUCCGGACCAACGUCGCCGCGAAGAAGAGGAACACCGACCUGGCUUUCCUGCUGGGCGGGGCGGACAUGCUCCAGAGCACCGACGAGGCGGUCAAGGAGUGGUACAGGGCGCAUGUCGGCCUCAUCCUGGACUAGCUUCCCUCGACGACGCCGCCCACGCCCACGCCCACGACGACGCCGCCCACGCCCACGCGCACGCCGAUGCCGCCAACAAGCCCGACCGAUGAUGCCGCCGGGACUGCCCGCAGCGCAGAAGCCACGCCGCCAAGCAUAGAGACCCCGUCAAGCCCGCGCACGCCGACUCCGCCGACGCCGGAGGCCGACCUCGCCGUCUGAUGCGCGUUUCUGUUCUGAUUUUUGUACGCCGAACUUUUCAUCGAUCGCCGAUCAUCGCUUGAUCGCCGNNNNNNNNNNNNNNNNNNNNNNNNNNNNNNNNNNNNNNNNNNNNNNNNNNNNNNNNNNNNNNNNNNNNNNNNNNNNNNNNNNNNNNNNNNNNNNNNNNNNNNNNNNNNNNNNNNNNNNNNNNNNNNNNNNNNNNNNNNNNNNNNNNNNNNNNNNNNNNNNNNNNNNNNNNNNNNNNNNNNNNNNNNNNNNNNNNNNNNNNNNNNNNNNNNNNNNNNNNNNNNNNNNNNNNNNNNNNNNNNNNNNNNNNNNNNNNNNNNNNNNNNNNNNNNNNNNNNNNNNNNNNNNNNNNNNNNNNNNNNNNNNNNNNNNNNUGGGAGCUAGGCCGCCCCCCAGGGCCGAACUAGCGCCGGCUCGCCCCCAGGGCGCAGUUUUUCGGCGCCCUUGGGGGCCGAACGGCUGGAGAUGCUCUAAGUCCUAUAUCAUUGAUCUUACGCGAAGAUUCGUGUGGAUUUUUUUUCUAUGCUUGCUUGUGUCACUUAGAUGUGCAAUAACUAAGGCACAUCUAGAUGUGCCCUAGACAAACCCCACUCCCCCGUUUCUAAAUACUAGUAAGUGUGCACGUGCAAUGCAAUUCAAACCAUGGGAAUAAAACUUAGUGGGAUAUUUAAGUGAUGAGUUCAUAGUUCAAACGUGGGCAAGGGUUAUGUGGGUGUCAGGUUUGGCAAAAUAGUGUUUAAAAAAUGGUUUGGCAAAGCAGGAAGUGAUAUAUCCUAGUCUAUUAUAACGGUCAGGAAAAAUAAGAAACCAAUGAAAAAAGAACUUCAUAUUAAUAGGUAUUUCAUUAAUAUACAUAAUAUAGAUUACAUCAACCAUAGAGUUAUGAAUUUACAUUUCAUAUGAUACGUUUCCAUAGAAUUUACAUAUACAUGAAUAAAAGGUCGAAAAAAACAGAGGUGCAUCAUGUCAAAAACACAAGUGCUCGUCAUCGUUGCCUUGCUCUGCAACAAAUAAUAGUAAACAAAAUGAAAAACACCAUUCCGAUAUUUGAUUUUGAAACAGUGGGCAUAGGUACCUGUUCAUUCAGAAGAAUAUGAUACAAUUUAUUGCCUUGAUUGAUCACCUCAAUUUCUUAUUUCAACCUCCCUGUUAUAGUGAUGAUGUUCCUUGUACUUACCAUGUGACUGCUCAAUGCUUCUAAAAUCCCAACACAAUGAAGAGAAUGAAACCAAAAGCUAUGGACAAAAAGAAGUAGAGAACAAAUAUGUACGGUACUUCUUAAUAAGACAACAAAAUUUAUGAGGCCAGGUUUUAGAAAACAUUUUGAGAUAGAAUAUCAUUUUGGCAACCUUGUUCAUAUGUUUAGUACAGAGUAUGUACCUGAAACAGAUUGCCUUUCACCACACCUUUUUUCUCCAUCGAUGUGCUUCUCUGUAAAUGAAAGCCUCUGGACAAAACAGCACCCAUAUUUGAGAAGCAUGGAGGAUAGUUUCUGUAGAAAACACAAAAGGGGCAAUCUUAUUAUCACGGUUUCUAUUCGGAGUAUUGUGAUCAGUUAAAAUAACCAAUAGCAAAGCCUUUGUAGCGUACUACAGUAAGAAAAAACGUGGGGGCCAGGCCACGAGCUGGGAGAUGACAUUUGCGGGAGGCAAUGGAAAGCUCCAAGAUGAUCGCUUGCAGGAGGGCUGAAUCACAGCACUAAAACACUCCUUAGAUGAAUUACAUAUUAGAAGCAUUUUUAGAUAACAAAAGAACCCCUGUGGUUCUCUAGGAAUUUGGAACAUCAGCUUAUUAAUACCAAUUCGGCAACUACAAUCAGUUUAUUCUCUUGAAAUAUCCUCCCCUGUGGUUGGCUCAUACUGCCCAGCCAUAUUUUUAGAAAAUGAUGCUAAGUUCUGAAAUUAGCUACCACAUCUGGAAAUGCCAUCUUAUGGACUCUUGGAGUACAAUCCAAUUUCAAAUUAACCAACAACAGCUUAGGCAUUGAGUGACCAAUAACAAUUCGUGCAAGUAUUUUUAUAUUUCAUCAUAACAAUGACAGUGGAAAAGGUUCAGUUAAACAACUCUAGAGAUUUAUUUUUCUGCAAGGAAACAACUCACCUCUCCAAGAAGCAACCAUGUCGCCUCCUUGAAGUCCUCGAACUGCAGCCUCCACUUUGCCCAUAGAAGGAGCAGCAGCAGCAGCAGCGCCGUCUCGAAGACUUUUUUUUGGAAACUCGUCCCGAGCAUAAUCUAUAGUUUCACUCCUGCCCACACAUAGACUGACAUGCUCAACACACGUUAGUCUUGCUAAUCUACAGUUUCUGGCAAACGUGCGUUGAAUGAGUUUUCCGUACACUCGAAGAAAGCACUGAAAUUUCCAUGACUGGAUCACUAUCAUCUAAGGAGCAGGUUGCAAACUCGGUAGGACUGAAAAUAUCGUCCCCAGUCGAUAAUGUGAAUAGUUGACUGGAAAACCUGUACUGGACACGUGACAUGGUCUGAUGAGCAUUGCAAAUUUAAAGACAUUCUAGAAUAAUUGUAGCGGUGUCGAGAAGUGCCUAGUGCUCAUGAAUAGAACCCCAAACAUGAAGUAUAAAUAUCAAUAAUUUAGCAGAUAAAUUUAAGACAUAGAUGCUCCGAGUUUCUUCAUUUGUGAGAAAAAUGAUAUUGCAAGGUAGAUCAUUUUAUUGUACAGUAAGCUCUCGAAAAGCACCUAAAUUUCAGUGUACAAUCCGAAUUGCUAAGAAUACCUAUAAAAGUAUAGGCAUGGAGUGUUCAGAAUUGACAAGUGACACAGAUAAGAGUAAAUCAACGAAAUGGAAUGAUUAUCAUGCUGAACUUACCUGGAUUUCAUCAAAAAUGUUUCCCAAGGAUACCAGGACCCAGCUCAACUGAAAGGGGCUGCAUGUGCAUAUAUAGUAUACGUGUUAGAAGAGCAAACCGUAUCUGAAGGGAAGAAUAAAAAUUGUAAAAAUCGGAAUUGGAAAAUUCACAUUAAUAGUUUUGAUAGGUCACCACCGCAUAUUAUUGUUAUAUUCACACCAUUUGUUGUUUGUUCACUAUCAAAUAAGCUAAAUCUGACCAAAGGUAUUGAUCUGAUAGGAAAAAAGAGCCAGAUCUGCAAUGCUACAUGGCUAACAAGAUUAAGCUUAGAAUUGUGACUGUACAAUGCAAAUAACUUGAUAGAACUGUGCAAAACGACAUCCUAAUUCUAAAAUUUGUAACACUGCUUUUCCUUCUAGCAACUAAAAUCAACCAUGCGUAUUUAUUCAACCAUGAUAAACUUUCAGUCCUAAACAACAUUAUCCAUGCUGAAUCUGAAUCACAAACAUUGCAUGCAGAAAUUGACAGCACUACUCGAGUUCUCUUGCUUUCCUGAAUUUGACAGUACCUGAACAAAGCAAGCCGCACGCACAGCCUGCUGGCAGCCGCAGGCACGCACCUCACACACGCCGGCCAGCUGCGCGAUCCUCUGGCGGACAACACUCAUGCACAACACGCCGACAUCAUCACGCACGUAGCAGCGGAGCCCCAAAUCCGCCAGCCGCCGAGCGACCUAGCUGGCUCCGGCCCUGCACGCCCUAGUUGGCCCCGUUGUUGAGCGCCCUAGUUGUGGCCGCCGCACAGCACUGCGCUGCAACCACAAUGCGAACGCCUAGGCUGCCGCACGCCUCUUCUAGCCGGUCGUCGACGCACUGCCUGCCGCGCGCGGCAUUGCGCUGCCACCACAACGCGAACGCCCAGGCUGCCGCACGCAUCCUAUAGCCGCCCGUCAACGCACUGGCUGCCGCAUGCGCUAGAUGUCACCGCCGAGGCGCCGGGGAGGAGUGAAUGCAUUUGUGACCUGCCUCGAUCUGGUGCGCCCUCCGCUCAUCCUCGAACUCCCUCUUCGCCGCGCGCCAUGGCCAGCGGUCUAUCCCCGAGACCCCGACAAGCCGUCGCAUCCGAGAGAACCUCCACGCCCUCUUGAUCCUCCACGCCGAACGAAUCAAGUUGCGACGCCCUGCACAGAGCACACGGACGUCGUCUUCUCCGACACCAUCCGUAAGCCGCCGUCGUCGAUUCAUCGUGCUCCUCCUUCUCUGGUCUUGCCGACAGCACGAACCUCCUCAUGGUUAUCCCUGCCUCCUUUCCCCUCUCUCUUAGUCCUCGUCCUCGACAUCAACAUGUAGCCGCUGCCCCGCAAGCUCCGUCUCUGUUUGCCGCCAUGGCCGACGAACUCGGUUAUGUCAAGCCUCCCCUGGCCCGACGUGUUCCAGGGGCUACGUAGACACCGCCUAGAUGGCUAGCCGCUCCAUGAGCCAGCUCCCGACUCGUAUCGACGCCUACUCCCCAUGUCUGAUAGAGCUAUCAGGCGAGACCGCAGAGGAGCGGCAGACGAUUAUCUAUGAUACACGGCCGGCGGCUAGAGGUGUGUGGCGACGUCAUGUAGCGGCGCGGCAGCGAGGAUGGCAUGCGCCUGGUGGGGCCGCGACAGCGUCGGGUUGGGCGGCGUUCGCGAGAGGUGCCGGCUACGGGCGCGUGGUACUUCCUUUUUCUCGGGGAGAAGGAGGUGGGGAGCAUGCCCAUAAUUUUAGAAGUGACACGACGCCGGAUAACAGAGUUUUCGUCCGCUCGAAAAAAAUGCUAAACACACUAUGAACGUGGAUUGAUGGAAUAUUAACUCUUAGAUCAAAUUAAGUGAUUAGAUCGAGAGGCCGCAAUUCCUCCAUGUUGUUAUGUGUAGAUUAGGCUGGGUGCACUUAGUGAUGAAUAUGUUUGCUUGUUUAAUAGUAGUAUAGAAACCUCCUCAUGGUUAUCCCUGCCUCCUUUCCCCUCUCUCUUAGUCCUCAUCCUCGACAUCAACAUGUAGCCGCUGCCCCGCAAGCUCCGUCUCUGUUUGCCGCCAUGGCCGACGAACUCGGUUAUGUCAAGCCUCCCUUGCCCGUUUCUGUGGCCCGACGUGUUCCAGGGGCUACGUAGACACCGCCUAGACGGCUAGCCGCUCCAUGAGCCAGCUCCCGACUCGUAUCGACGCCUACUCCCCCAUGUCUGACAGAGCUAUCAGGCGAGACCGCAGAGGAGCGGCAGACGAUUAUCUGCGAUACACGGCCGGCGGCUAGAGGUGUGUGGCGACGUCAUGUAGCGGCGGGGCGGCGAGGAUGGCAUGCGCCUGGUGGGGCGGCGACAACGUCGGGUUGGGCGGCGUUCGCGAGAGGUGCGGGCUACGGGCGCGUGGUACUUCCUUUUUCUCGGGGAGAAGGAGGUGGGGAGCAGGCCCGUAAUUUUAGCAGUGACACGGCGUGGGGACGCCGAAUAACAGAGUUUUUGUCCGCCCGAAAAAAUGGUAAACACACUAUGAACCUGGAUUGGUGGAAUAUUAAAUCUUAGAUCAAAUUAAGUGAUUAGAUCGAGAGGCCGCAAUUCCUCCGUGUUGUUAUGUGUAGAUUAGGCUGGGUGCACUUAAUGAUGAAUAUGUUUGCUUGUUUAAUAGUAGUAUAGAAACCUCCUCAUGGUUAUCCCUGCCUCCUUUCCCCUCUCUCUUAGUCCUCAUCCUCGACAUCAACAUGUAGCCGCUACCCCGCAAGCUCCGUCUCUGUUUGCCGCCAUGGCCGACGAACUCGGUUAUGUCAAGCCUCCCCUGCCCGUUGCUGUGGCCCGACGUGUUCUAGGGGCUACGUAGACACCGCCUAGACGGCUAGCCGCUCCAUGAGCCAGCUCCCGACUCAUAUCGACGCCUACUCCCCCAUGUCUGACAGAGCUAUCAGGCGAGACCGCAGAGGAGCGGCAGACGAUUAUCCGCGAUACACGGCCGGCGGCUAGAGGUGUGUGGCGACGUCAUGUAGCGGCGGGGCGGCGAGGAUGGCAUGCGCCGGGUGGGGCGGCGACAACGUCGGGUUGGGCGGCGUUCGCGAGAGGUGCGGGCUACGGGCGCGUGGUACUUCCUUUUUCUCGGGGAGAAGGAGGUGGGGAGCAGGCCCGUAAUUUUAGCAGUGACACGGCGUGGGGACGCCGGAUAACAGAGUUUUUGUCCGCCCGAAAAAAUGCUAAACACACUAUGGACGUGGAUUGGUGGAAUAUUAACUCUUAGAUCAAAUUAAGUGAUCUGAUCGAGAGGCCGCAAUUCCUCCGUGUUGUUAUGUGUAGAUUAGGUGGGUGCACUUAGUGAUGAAUAUGUUUGCUUGUUUAAUAGUAGUAUAGAAACCUCCUCAUGGUUAUCCCUGCCUCCUUUCCCCUCUCUCUUAGUCCUCAUCCUCGACAUCAACAUGUAGCCGCUGCCCCGCAAGCUUCGUCUCUGUUUGCCGCCAUGGCCGACGAACUCGGUUAUGUCAAGCCUCCCCUGCCCGUUGCUGUGGCCCGACGUGUUCUAGGGGCUACGUAGACACCGCCUAGACGGCUAGCCGCUCCAUGAGCCAGCUCCCGACUCGUAUCGACGCCUACUCCCCCAUGUCUGACAGAGCUAUCAGGCGAGACCGCAGAGGAGCGGCAGACGAUUAUCUGCGAUACACGGCCGGCGGCUAGAGGUGUGUGGCGGCGUCAUGUAGCGGCGGGGCGGCGAGGAUGGCAUGCGCCGGGUGGGGCGGCGACAGCGUCGGGUUGGGCGGCGUUCGCGAGAGGUGCGGGCUACGGGCGCGUGGUACUUCCUUUUUCUCGGGGAGAAGGAGGUGGGGAGUAGGCCCGUAAUUUUAGCUGUGACACGGCGUGGGGACGCCGGAUAACAGAGUUUUCGUCCGCCCGAAAAAAUGCUAAACACACUAUGGACGUGGAUUGGUGGAAUAUUAACUCUUAGAUCAAAUUAAGUGAUCUGAUCGAGAGGCCGCAAUUCCUCCGUGUUGUUAUGUGUAGAUUAGGCUGGGUGCACUUAGUGAUGAAUAUGUUUGCUCGUUUAAUAGUAGCAUAGAUAAGUCAUUUUAGAGAUUCUAAUAUAAGUACAAACGGAGCAAAAUAAGUGAAUCUACACUCUAAAAUACCUCUACAUUCAUCUGUAUGUAGUCCAUAUUGAAAUGUCUAAAAAGACUUAUAUUUAGGAACGGAUGAAAUAUAAUACUCCUAUAAACUAUCUCUGCUACUGUUUAUCUAUACAUUUAUGCUGCCUAUGUUGGGAACGUAUCUGGUGCACCGGACCUUGUUGCACAUUCAAAAAUAUAUUAAAAUAUCAAGGAAAAUAAUUAGUGCAUUGACCGAAAUCACUAGUUGAGGAGUACUCAUUACAAAGAUCACUCCCACCUCCCGGGUUGCGACAAGUGGCGCGCUGCAUGUGCGCCACUUGUCACAACCGGGAGUUUUCCUUUUUUCAUAGAUCCGUUUAUUUAAAAUAUUUUAUCUCUUAAACCAUGUGUUCAAAUCUUAAACCGUUUCCACCGUUGGAUUCCAUUCCUCGCGUCGAGAUCUUCAAAAGUAGAUCCCAUGUUGAUAGGUUUUGACGAACUUUUUUUUCACGAAAAAACCGGAUGAAAAAACCGACCCGGGAGCAUGGGUUUUUUCGCUUUCCGAAAGAGGCACACCCGUGCCUCUCGCGAAAGCACAACCGUCCCUCUCGCGGAAGCAAAACCGUGCCUCUCGCAGAAAAAAAAAUAGAAAACACGUUUUUUUCGUUUCCGAGAGGCACGACCGUGACUCUCGCGGAAGCACAACCGUGCCUCUCGUGGAAAGAAAAAACAAAAAUGCGUUUUUUCGUUUCCAAGAGACACGACCGUGACUCUCGCGAAAGCACAACCGUGCCUCUAGCGAAAGCAAAACCGUGCCUCUCGCGGAAGAAAAAAAAUAGAAAACCCAUUUUUUUCUUUUCGAAAGGCACGGCUGUGACUCGCAAAAGCACAACCGUGCCUCCUGCGGAAGCAAAACCGUGCCUCUCAUGGAAGGAAAAAACAGAAAACGCGUUUUUUUCAUUUUCGAAAGGCACGGCCGUGACUCUCGCGAAAGCACAACCAUGCCUCUCGCGGAAGCAAAACCGUGCCUCUCGCGAAAGGAAGAAAAAACAGAAAACGCGUUUUUUUCGUUUCUGAAAGGCACGGCCGUGACUCUCGCGAAAGCACAACCGUGCCUUUCGCGGAAGCAAAACCGAGACUCUCGUGAAAGAAAAAAAAACGCGUUCUUUUUGCGAAACUUUUUUUGAAACUUUUUUUACCCAAAAGCUAAGGAAGACCGGUGGAAAACCAAAACAUCGGAAAAACCCGGAAAAAAACCGUUUAAAAAGUCGAAAACGUGUGCGGAAAAAUAAAAAAAAUCCGGAGGGAGCGCCCAGAGCGGACACAUGGCGGGCGGCUGAGAGCGCGCCAAGUGGCGCUGAUCGUUGCGAGGCUCCCUAUGGAGUGCUGUUAACUAGUUGCUCUCUGCCUUGACACAACAUCAUUAUAUGUUGUCACAAGAAUUCAAAUCAAAAUUCGGAACAUUGCUAGAGAUACAAAAAUGAUAAAUUUGAAAUCAAUGUGUUAAUGGGCCAAAACUGAAGCCCAACUUGUGUUAUGCACUAUUCAUUGUCAAAUUUAUCAUUUUUGUAUCUCGGGCAAUGUUUUAAAUUUUGAUUUGAGUUUUUGUGACAACAUGCAAUGAUGUUGUUUCAAUGCACUAAAUUGUAUCCGGAUUUUUCCUAACAUUUUUAAUAUGCAAUGGGGGACCCGUGCACCAGUAGCACCAAUUGCCCUGGUGCACUAGAUACAUCCUCGCAAAUGUUUGCCACUGAUCCGAAUUCCAAACUAGUACUCCAAAGAAACCAUUUGUUGAAGCUUAUUAGGACAAUGUCCAUGUGUUGUAAUAGAAGAUAAAUGCGAUUGUGUAAAUAAAUGUCUAUCAAAUCUUGCCCGUGAUUUACCUAUAGUUUGAUGAGACGUCAGGUAAGUAAAUUAAAGUGAAACUGAUUCAGAAGGUAAGUAAAAAGAAUUGCAGGAAGAAGGCAAGUAAAUUAAUAUGAUUGAUUAUCAUAUGCAGACACUAGUAGAAAACGACCUUUCGUUCGCAUCAUUAGUCCCGUUUGAUUAUGGCCCGGGACUAAUGUGACCAUUAGUCCCAGUUCCAACGGCUAGGGCACGGGCAUCAUUAGUCCCGGUUCGUUUUGUACCUCUAGUCCCGGUUUGUGACACAAACCGGGACUAAAGGGGUUGUGGCAGGCUGGCGUCAGGCUGGGGCCCCCACGAGCACCUUUAGUCCCGGUUUGUAUCACAAACCAGGACUAGAGGUACACCUUUAGUCCCAGUUUGUAUAACCAAACGGGAAUAAAGAUGCCCCUAUAUAAACCCUUCGUCCAGCCCGAGCCCAUUCUCUCUGUUUUCCCCUUUCCUCUCCUCUGUUCUUCCCCUUGCUCGAGCUCAUCCUCCGUUUUUGCCAAGAUUUGUCAAGAUUUGAAGGCACCCCAUCCAUCCAAGUGUUCACAAAGGUUAGCAACUUUGUCCUUUCAUCUCUCAUUGCUAGAUUAGCUCCUGCAAUGCUCUAUAAGUAUAGUGAUUUGUGGGUUUUAGUUUGGGACUAAUUAUAUGUUGGAGUUUAUUUGAUUUAUGUGCAAUUUGAGCUCAAAUUAACUUCUUAGUUUGCAUAUGUAGGUGUGGUUUACUUAGUGCCUUACCGUCCCCGUCCUAACCACCGUCGAUCGCCCGCACCGCCCCGUCGCCGGCGCCACCUUCGUGAGCCUCUUGUUCUUAUCCUUUUUAUAAAAAAAAUCAUGUUUGUAUGAUUUAGAUAGUUACUUGUAUAAUUUUCUUACCUGUAUGGUUGUUUGUUAUACAUAGUGGCAUGGUUUUGAUAUCAGUCCCCGUCGGCCCUCGUCCGGUUUAUGAUUCGGAUGUGGUAUAUGUAUAUUCUCUUUAUAACUAUUUGUUGAAUUUCGUGUUUAUGACAAUUGUGCCCAUCAAGUUGACAUAGAUAUUUUUAUUUAGGAGGUAUGUGAACCGGAAAUUGCAACUGACCCUCUUGUCGAGAAGUUAAAUUUAGUUGAAAAAGAAAACAAGUAUUUGAAUGAAAAAUUGAAAGAAUUGAAGAAGAGAAGAUGAAACUGGAGUUGUAUGUUGCCGAUGUCGCCGAUGAUCACAAGAUCAAGAUGGAUGCAAUGCGCUUGAAGAUUAGAAAGAUUAGAAAAUAUGCCGUAAUAAAGAGGCUUGGUAUCACUAUGCUGUUGGAUCAAUUGUUACCUUAGUUGCGAUCUUGAUCGCAUUUGUUGUUGCAUUUAAAUGCUUUAGCUAGAGAGUUUGUAUGUUGUUUUAUGAGAAUAAGUGUGUAUAAAUUUUAUGUAUGAACUUGUAUUAAUUUGGUCUUUUCGGUGUUGUGCAAUGAAGAUGAGCCGACAAUGGAUGUACGAUGACCGACGCUCUCCCCGGUUCAUUGAUGGUGUGCAUACUUUUCUGCUUGCGGCCGAGGCAAACAAGCGGUCGGAUGGUUUUAUGUGUUGUCCAUGUGGUGUCUGUAAUAAUGAUAACAAUUACUCUAACUCAAGAACCAUUCACGUCCACCUUUUUACGUCCGGUUUCAUGUCCAGCUAUAACUGUUGGACCAAGCACGGAGAAAGAGAGGGGUUCUAAUGGAAGAGAAUGAAGAAGAAGAGGAUGAUGACAGCUAUCCUCGCCAUGGGUUCCCUGAAUACGAUGGUACUACAAUGGGGGAAGAAGCUGAAGAAGAGGCAUCAGAGGAGCCCGCUAAUGAUCUUGGUCGGGCCAUUGCUGAUGCAAAGAGAAAUUGCGCAAGUGAAAAGGAGAAGUUGAAGUUGCAACGCAUGUUAGAGGAUCACAAGAAAUUGUUGUACCCAAAUUGCGAAGAUGACAAGAAAAAGCUGGGUACCACACUGGAAUUGUUGCAAUGGAAGGCAGAGAACGGUGUAUCCGACAAGGGAUUUGAAAAGUUGUUGAUAAUGUUAAGGAAGAUGCUUCCAAAGGACAACGAAUUGCCCGACAGUACGUACGAAGCAAAGAAGGAUGUCUGCCCUCAAGGAUUAGAGGUGCAGAAGAUACAUGAAUGCCCUAAUGACUGCAUCCUGUACCGAGGUGAGGAGUACGAGAAUUUGAAUGCAUGCCCGGUAUGCGGUGCAUUGUGCUAUAAGAUCAGCUAUGAUGACCCUGGUGAUGUUGAGGGCGAGUGUCUCAGGAAGAGAAUUUCUGCCAAGGUGAUGUGGUAUGCUCCUAUAAGACCACAGUUGAAACGUUUGUUCCAAAACAAAGAGCAUGCCAAGUUGAUGCGAUGGCACAAAGAAGUCCGUAAGAAAAACGGGAAGUUGAGAGUACCCGCUGAUGGCCCUUACGAACCGGGACUAAUGGUUGAUUCUCCACUAGUGAGAAAGGAUGGACGAAGAGGUGGUGGAAAAAAAUGAAACGUGAAACCUUAGAUUUUUUUGAAAAAGUGGAGAUAGAAAUAGAGAUUCAUGUGCGCUAGGCAAAAAAAAACUAGAUAAAAGAACAAGAGGCCGCCAAGGCCUUUAACCAUUAAAGUGUCACAUAUAUGUUUGGCUGUGUCGUAUUCAAGGCUCCGCAGACCUAAGAAAGGUUCGAACUCUGGGGCAUGUGCGAAGAACUCAACCUCUUCAGCCAACCAGUUCGUCGUCCCCACGGCCUAGCUCAAUGAACAAGAAAUGAGAGGGACACGACAGUUUACCCAGGUUCAGGCCCCCUUGCGGUGUAAGACCGUACUCCUGCUUUGGGGUGGAUUAGCCUCGCGAGGGGCUGAGGAUGAACUAGUACAGAGGAAGAACAACCUCAGGAGGUCUGUUCUUGUGUGAGUGUGAGCUAGUGAGGGUUUGGAUCCCAUCCCCCUCAUCGGUGGUGGCUGAGCUAUAUUUAUAGUGGCCUUGGUCCUCUUCCUCCAAUCGAAGGCGGGAAGGGAUCCCACAGUGGCCAAUUUUGAAGGGUGACAAGUAGUACAUCCUAUCCUGACGAAAGGUGGUCUUUGCCUGCAAAGCUUCUGGUCGUGACGCCGUGGUGGGCUCGGCGAUGACAUCCUUCCUGGCGGUCUUGGUCUUGUUGCACGGGAAUGGAAAUCUUUGGCUGAUUCCUCGGGACCCCGCGCCUGCGCUUGCCUCCUUAGCACCAAAGAGGAAAUCUUCUGCUCUGCGCCCGCUGGCACCCGCUUGGCCUUGUUCGUCAUGGCUUGCGUCACCUCAACCUCACGAGGUGGGCGCCUGCAUAGGAAUCUCCGCUCCUCGGGAGCCAGCCUGGGGAGGCCGCUCCCUCCGGAUGUCUUGGUGUCGUCCGCCUCACGAGGCUUGGCCCCUCGCGAGGGUCUUGUCUUGCCGAUGCUGAAGAUGGGCCGUACCAGGCCGUCGACGGAGCCACGCCGUGGGCCGCAAGCAGGCAAGUCCGGGUACCCUGGUUCCCGGAACGCUGAUAGUAGUCCCCGGGCCCAAGGCGCGCUCGGACUUGGCUUCGAGGCGAAGCCAAAGGGCAAGGGCAACGCGCCGUGGGCCCCAAUCGCCUGUGGACCGAGUCGAUGCGUGGCGCUUGAUGGGACGUGGGCGUCUCCACUUCCCCAUGCUGCCUCGGCAACCGCCUGACUUGACAACUGCCUGUUGCAUGCAGAAAAACCAUCAUUACUUGGAAUCGUGGGAGGCCAGCGGUUGGCAUCCCUCCGGCUAUAAAUGGGGGAAGGGGUGGAGCCCCCAGCCCAUCCUCGUCUUUUCGCCGCCUGCUCCUCCUUCCUCUUUGCUCCGACGUCUUGCCGAAUUGUCUAUGGCGCCAGUGAGAAGGUUUUCCACUGCGGAGAAGGGAAAAUCCCAUCAGGUGGAAUUUGAGUUGCUCCCGCCGAAGAAGAGGCCUGAUUGCUCCCGUGACACCGUCGCGGAGCCCAUGGCGACGCGGCCUUGGCAUGAACGGGCUCUGCCGGGCUUCCCUGUCCCCCGUGUAUGCCUGCGCGCAGAGCCCCGCGCAUAGGAGCGGCGGCCAACGAUGCGAGGAGCAGGGUCGCGGAGGAGAACUUGCAGUGGCCGCACGGCCACCCCACUCGCGGACCCACGCUGAAGGCACGGACCGUGAGUUUGUGGUGUGGGCGGCAAUGCCGCCGCGCACAUGGAUCCGGCUCCCGCGGUCCCUUGCAAGGGAGAUACCACAAAGGGGGCCACUGAGUUGUGGCUGCAGCACGAUGGAUGCUGCGGCCAGGCUUCAGAAGCAGAAGUCGAGGCCGUCAACUCCGGCGACGUCUUCAUGACUCGAGGAUGGGGCGCGAUCGCCCGUGCCUCCCCCCAAGAGGGAGGCCACGCCAUCCACUUCGAGUACGACAGGGUGUCAACGCUCUUCUUCAAGGUCUUCGGCGAGGAUGGUCGGCACCUGGAAUGCUUCUGACAGGAGCAGCGCCUCCUCGGGGCAUGCCUCGAGCGAAGAUGACAGCUAUGAGCCGCCGCGUCACCACAGCCAAGCCUAGUGGAGGAAACUUCCAGCGUGACGCGUGGGCGACGUUGUUUAGGCCACGGUCUUCGGGAGAUCCUUUCGUUUGGUUUUGUCCCUGUAGAAAACCAUGUAGGGCCCCGCAGGGAUAUGUAAAAACUAUGAUGCUUUUGCCUUAAUGCUGAUUAUUUCCAAUCAAUGCCACAUUUACGUUUCUCGUUGUGGCACGGUUCCCCCUUUCAUCCUCAUGGUAGCUUAGUGCUCUACGCCAGCAGGACCUAGUCCCCAGGGAAGCUUUAGUCAUUGCUGGUAUGCCAGGUCACGAUGCCGUGAUCAAGGCCGGGAGAUGAGCGGCCCAAGGUCCAGUAAGAGCCCCUGAGGCGCGAUGCUCAAGGGGUCGCCUUUGGCACGCAAGCGGCUCCCGAAGGAUUGAAAGGGAAACAUCCUUGCUCGAGCGAGAUCGCAAGAGGCAGAACGCUGAUCGUGAGGUUUAUGCCUGCGCGUAUGGGGUGACUUAUCUUGGCGAGCCUGCGGUGAUCCUUUCAUUGUGAGGACAACUUCUUGUGCGACAUCAGGCUAUGUCCUUCUGACGGUGGCACUCCCAGGCAGGACUCGUGCCAACCCCCUCUUUCCCGCUCAUCUGGAUGCUCUACGUCCUCCGGUCCCGGCCCUUGAGCGAGGCUCAGCCGCCGCUGGUAUGCUAGGUCGCGAUGCCGUGGUCAAGGCCAGGAGGUCAGGGCUCGAGAGCCGGUAGGAUCCCUUGAGGUGCGAUGCUCAGGGCCCCCCUUUAAUGUGCGAGCGAUUUGUGUGAAAAAGGAGUGCCUGGCCUCGCGAGGAUGCCUUGGAGGGGUCGCGACUCGAGGUGUUGGCGGGUCCGCUCGUGCUCCGGAGGUCCCUGUGGCACCCCGGCUCAGAGCGACCGGUUUGCCUUGCAUUCCCAGCCCAGAGAUCAAGUCUUCUGGCAACACGCAACAACUUGGUACAGAAAUACAACCGCUUUAUUGGUACUACCAGAACAUAGAGUUUGAUAUUACAAGUAGCGAGGCCAAGAGGCACACUUGGUGCUGCUGAACAUAUGUACAUUAUUUAGUAGACAUGAGCAGGGGCCUCGACAUCAUGAUAAGACUACGUGGCAACGGAACGAUGAUGUAGAAAGACUCCAUCUCACAGGGACACUGAUGUGGACACGGUCUAGACUGCGAUACGAUAUGCAACUCCAAGGUAUGACUUCUCCUGAAACUGGCAUGACAUGCCAGGUCAGUACAUUGAAUGUACUUGCAAGCUCACACAAACAAAGCAACAAUGGCAAACAAGAACAAUGAUAUUUAAGCAGGUUUAAUGCAAGAAUUAACAUGUUACUCAUGAAGUGAUCGUGCUCAUAACAGGGCCUUUCCGACCCGCUUACCAUCUCGGUUACCUCGUAACCACGAACCUCAUCAUAUCAAGGUGAUCACUCCCGGAUCACAAACGAAACCACCUCGGUGGUCCUCACAACUUAACCGACAUAACCAGUGCCACAAGUAUUCAUUUAGUGCGCAAGUUUAAUAUUUUCUUGUUGAUCCACGGUGUGACCUACUAUGAACUUGUGUCCAUGACCGAGGACGCUGCUAUCGAUAGAUUAUACACACUCUGCAGAGGUUACCACACUGUACCCACACCACGGAACCCAUGGCCUCGGACUCCCAUUCGGGUGGACGAACGGCGUUCCGACAGAACCAGGCUAUUGCCAUGACACUCUCCCGGCCACUCCGACCAACUCCCCUUUGGGCUAAGUCAUGGGUGGCCCCGAUGCCACUCCGUACAUCCAACGGCCCCCGUCGUGACAAAACAAUCGUCCCAAAGGGGAUAUGGUACCAAAAUAACUACGGGCACACAAGGUUAUACCUGCCUACCGGGCCAGGGUAGUGCCAGCGCAUAACCUUCCCUAGUUGGAGGUACCGGCGAGAGGCAUAACAAUAGAUCGAGAAAGGUCCCCCCUCAUAAAGGCAAAUGUGGUUGCACUUUGGGAAGCUCGAUUUGGUGGCACCAUGACUCGAUCAACAACAUGUUCAAGUUGGUUUAUUAUCAGGUUUCAACUUGCAAAAAUUUCACCGAGUCAUAGUAUGCCAUGAAAAUGCAAUGACAAAUAUUGCAUUACUUUCAACAUAAUCUCAAUAUUAAGUUAUUAACUAAAUCAAGCAUAAUGUCAUAUUACUCUACUACAUAAACUUAACCAUCCAACUAUAAUGCUACUGAUAACAGAAUAAUCACAGCAAGAACAUGCAACUAGCAUCAAAUGAAUUUAUAUGAAUUUUCUAUAUGCAUUUAAAAUAAUGAUAUUCAAGUGAAACCAUAGUUAUUGAAAUGGCAUUCUUGCAAAUAUUUGUGAUGGCUUGCCUUAGUGCAGAGGAGGGUCACACUCCUCCUGGUUCUCCUCAAGGCAAGUUUCUUACAAUGAAAAUGAUUAAAAUAGCAAAAAUAAAAUGUCAUAUAACACUGUUUAAUUCACCAGAAAAUAAUCACAACAAGCAAAAAUCUCAUCUUUUGCAUGCUGAUAGAAAAUUUUAACACAAAACCAAUGCAAAAAGAAUCAUGUCAUUUGGACUUAUAGAAUAGGAGUUAUAGCUGGUCAAAGUUUAGUCAAUUUUCUGAUUAUAAAUUUGAUUUUUCAGAAAAUCAGAGAGGGGGGUGAUGUCGAAGGCGUAAACCAGCGGGGCGUCUCCACUCAUACUGCUUCGGGAGGCGGCUGAGUGGCUGACAAUGGGCCCCCGUGGUCAGGUUUAGAGGGAGAGGGAGAGAAACAGAGGAGGAGGGGUGGCUCGUCGCCGGUGGUUCUCCGACGAGGAGAGCUCGGCGGCUGCCGUGGAAGGGAGGGAUGGACGCACAAGGUUACGACGCACCUGGACGUACCCAAAAUGUGGCGAGAGGUGGUCGGACAAGGUCGGCAUGCUCGUCUCCAGCGGCUGCAGCGGGCGGAGCACGUCGGAGAGGAAGACGCCGACGACGUGAGGCCGUUCCAGGGGCUCCAGAGGCACCAGCUAGGACCAGUGGACCACCAGGAACACGCUUGAGCAGUCGGUGGAGCUCGAGAGGCAGUGGAGUGGGAGGGGGCAGAGGACUUGGAUCGCCGGCGACCGGCGGAGGGGAAAGGCGGCCAGUGGCCCGCCUGGCCCAUCCACGGCUAGCUGAGGAGGUGUGGAGGUUAGGUGCGUGUGAUUUCGUGCUCGGAGAGGGGCGGAUCGAGCUCUAUUUAAAGGUGGAGGGGAGCGGGGUCUUGGGCUCGCCGGAGGGCUCUGGAAGCAGCGCUCGGCAACGGCUGGCACUAGUGAGAGGGGCGAAGGACUCCACGGCUCACGCGGCCACUGUGGGAGGGCGCAGACGAGCACAGGACGCAGGUGGAGACGAGCACAGGGGCACGGGUGCACUUUGCACUUGGCCUCGUUGUGCCCGUGCUCGCUGCGGCGAACUACGGGAUCAGCGAGCGGCAGGGAGGGGUCAAGGGCGACGGGACGAGGGUGGUGGCAUGGUGCGGCAGGCUGAGGCGAGCUCCGACGCGGGCACGGGCGAAACAGAGCCGCUGGCGUGACGUAGAGCGCGUCGACCGCAUGCCAGGGGCCUUGUCCUCGCGCGGUCACCGCGUGAACUCUGGCAUCACGUGACCUGGGCUGUGCAAAUAGUUGGAGAUAUGCCCUAGAGGCAAUAAUAAAAUAGUUAUUAUUAUAUUUCCUUGUUCAUGAUAAUUGUCUAUUGUUCAUGCUAUAAUUGUAUUAACCGGAAACCGUAAUACAUGUGUGAAUACAUAGACCACAACAUGUCCCUAGUAAACAUCUAGUUGACUAGCUCGUUGAUCAAUAGAUGGUUGUGGUUACCUGACCAUGGACAUUGGAUGUCGUUGAUAACGGGAUUACAUCAUUAGGAGAAUGAUGUGAUGGACAAGACCCAAUCCUAAGCAUAGCACAAGAUCGUGUAGUUCGUUUGCUAGAGCUUUUCUAAUGUCAAGUAUCAUUUCCUUAGACCAUGAGAUUGUGCAACUCCCGGAUACCGUAGGAAUGCUUUGGGUGUAUCAAACAUCACAACGUAACUGGGUGACUAUAAAGGUGCACUACAGGUAUCUCCAAAAGUGUCUGUUAGGUUGGCACGAAUCGAGACUGGGAUUUGUCACUCCGUAUGAUGGAGAGGUAUCUCUGGGCCCACUCGGUAAUGCAUCAUCAUAAUGAGCUCAAUGUGACUAAGGAGUUAGCCACGGGAUCAUGAGUUACAGAAUGAGUAAAGAGACUUGCUGGUAACGAGAUUGAACGAGGUAUGGGGAUACCGACGAUCGAAUCUCGGGCAAAUAACAUACCGGUGGACAAAGGGAAUUGUAUACGGGAUUGAUUGAAUCCCCGACAUCGUGGUUCAUCCGAUGAGAUCAUCGUGGAACAUGUGGGAGCCAAUAUGGGUAACUAGAUCCCGUUAUUGGUUAUUGUCCAGAGAGGUGUCUCGGUCAUGUCUGCAUGGUUCCCGAACCCAUAGGGUCUACACACUUAAGGUUCGGUGACGCUAGAGUUGUAAUGGAAAUUGUAUGUGGUUACCGAAGGUAGUUCGGAGUCCCGGAUGAGAUCCCGGACAUCACGAGGAGUUCUGGAAUGGUCCGGAGGUGAAGAUCGAUAUAUUGGACGAAGGGUAUUGGAGUCCGGAAAUGUUCCGGGGGUACCAGGCUAUGGCCAGCAUGACCGAAAGGUGUUUCGGGAGCCCCGACAGUGUUGCAGAGCCUCAUGUGCCAAGGGGAGGGGGCAAACCAUCCCACUAAGGGGCCGUGCGCCCCCACACCCUUUCCCAUAUUGCUUGAGGAGGUGGGGCGCCUCCACCUGACUUGGGAGGCAAGCCUCCACCUGGCUUGGCUUGGGGGGCAAGUCUCCCUAGGGUUUCCCUAGGGAGAUCCAAUCUGCCUUGACCGCCGCCCCCUAGGGGAAACCCUAGGGCGCCUCCCCCUCUCCCCUUCCCCCUAUAUAUAGUGAGGGGGUGGGAGGGCAGCCGCACCCUUCCCUGGCGCAACCCUUCCCCCCUCCAACACCUCCUCCUCCUCCGUAGUGCUUGGCGAAGCCCUGCCAAAGAACCGCAAGCUCCACCACCACGCCGUCAUGCUACCGGAGCUCUCCCUCAACUUCUCCUCUCCCCUUGCUGGAUCAAGAAGGAGGAGACGUCCUGGGCUGUACGUGUGUUGAACGCGCAGGUGCCGUCCGUUCGGCGCUUGGAUCGGAUCUUCCGCGAUUUGAAUCGCCGCGAGUACGACUCCAUCAACCAAGUUCUUGUAACGCUUCCGCUUAGUGAUCUUCAAGGGUAUGAAGAUGCUCUCCCUCUCUCUCGUUGCUAGCAUCUCCUAGAUUGAUUUCGGUGACACGUAGGAAUUUUUUUGAAUUAUUACUACGUUCCCCAAUAGUGGUAUCAGAGCUAGGUCUAUGCGUAGAUUCUAUGCACGAGUAGAACACAAGUAGUUGUGGGCGAUGAUUUGCUCAAUUUGCUUACCGUUACUAGUCCUAUCUUGAUUCGUCGGCAUGGUGAUGAAGCGGCCCGGACCGACCUUACACGUAUGCUUACGCGAGACAGGUUCCACCGACUGACAUGCACUUGUUGCAUCAGGUGGCUAGCGGGUGUCUAUCUCUCCCACUUUAGUCGGAUCGGAUUCGAUGAAGAGGGUCCUUAUGAAGGGUAAAUUGCAAUUGGCAUAUCACCGUUGUGGCUUUUGUGUAGGUAAGAGACGUUCUUGCUAGAAACCCACAGCAGCCACGUAAAACAUGCAACAACAAUUAGAGGACACUACAAAAAAAAGACACAUCCGUGACAUUUUGGGCUGAACGAAAUUUUUUCUGUCAUGCUUAUGACACUUCUAUGACGAUAAUUGUGACAAAACCCGGUAUCAUCAUAGAUGUGGUGGGCUCCUACUUCUAUGACAAAAAGUCAUGACAGAAAAUGGGCUUUUCGUCCUGUGCGGGCCGGAGACGCAGCUGCAUGACAUUCUUUGGGCCGGCCAUGAUAGAAAAAACCAUGGUAGAAGCGAGGGGGAAGAAAAUAUCGGGGGAGUUCCCGGUUACGGUGGGUGGUCGGGGGCCGAGCGAAGCACGUUUCUCUCGUACGUACGCGCGUGUGUGCGAGGCGUUGUGCUCUAACUGAACCCGAGCGAGGCGUUGGGCUCUAACUGAACCCGAGCGAUUGCACUGCAGGCUAUGCGUUACUGAACCCGAGCGAUCGAUCAAUCCCUUGCUGUUAACUGAACCCGAGUGAUUCCUUCGCUACUGCUGCUAACUGAAGCCGAUCGAUGCUGCCUCUAGAUGAACAGUGAGCGUUGUUGGGGGGUUUGGAUGAACAGUUCCUGGUGGGGGGUUGGAUGAACAGGACCCCAUGGUAGUAGAGGCCGUUGCCGCUGGAUGAACAGGACCCCGAUCGAUCGAGCCGGUGGAUGAACAGGACCCCGUGGGGGGCUGGAUGAACAGGAUGACCCCGUGGAGGGCUAAAUGAACAGGACGACCCCGUGGAGGGCUGGUUGAACAGUAGCCGGUGGAGGGCUGGAUGAACAGGAGCCCAUGGAGGGGUGGUUGAACAGGACCCCGUGGAGAGGGCUGGUUGAACAGUAGCCGGUGGAGGAGCGCGCGGUGGAGGCUGGAUGAACAUGAGCCCGUGGAUGAACAGUCGCAGGUGGAGGCUGGAGGAGGUCAAAGGUGGAUGAACAGCAGCCCGUGGAGGCAGUAGACGGUGGAGAUGAACAGUAUCCCGUGGAGUCCCGUUUGGCGGUACGCCACACCCCUCCCGAUGAACAGGACCCCUGUUUCGACCGUAGCGCUCCAACACAAGUCUGUUUCCUCCGUUUUGCGGUACGCCGCACCCCUCCCGAUCAACAGGACCCCGUUUUGACCGUAGGAGGUCCAUUUUCUCCGUUUUGCGGUAUGCCAGACCCCUCCUGAUGAACAGGAUCCCGUUUCGACCGUGGCCGGUCGAACACAAGGCCGUUUCCUCUGUUUUGCGGUACGCCGAGCCUCGUUUCCAUCGGCUGUUCCGUCCAAGCCGGUUGGCUCCCGAUGAACACGACGCAUUCUUUUGCCUCCCCAUGAACACGACGACGGUGCAGCUUCUCCGUUCCGACCCAGUCAUGUACACGAGCCAUGGCCGUACGUAUGCGUGAGUAGGCGUUCGAGACCCCGCCCGUAUGUAUGUACGUGGCCGUAUUUUCUUUCUUGCACCCUGACCGCCGUACGUACGUGUACAUGCUAUGUGCGCGACUCUACUACGACACGUGCGCGCCUCUACUACGACACGUGCGCGCCUCUACAUCGACCAGUAUGUACGUACACGUUCGCGACCAAAAUGACAACGCUACGUACGCUUCAACCAGGUGGGUCCCGACUGUCAGGCACUUCCUUGCGUGCGAAGAUGUAGCUGGUGGGUCCCAGCAGUCAGGGGGCGAAUCAUUUUUUUUGCCCGUAAUAUGGACGCACUUCCAUGCGUGCGAAGAUGUAGCUAGUGGGUCCCAGCAGUCUGGGGGAAACAUUUUUUCAUGAAAUACAGUGGCCCGUCCAGUGGGUCCUGCUGUUAGGUGGAGGAAUAAUUAUUUUCCGCGUAAUAAGGAGGCACUUCCUUGCUGCGGCCGUGGACCCAGCUGUCAGCCACUCCAUGUAUAGUACUCUUCCGAUGGAAGUCGGUCCUUGACCACAUUGACCACGCCGUGCCGAGAGCACCAAGAUGGUGGACAACGCCGAGGCCUAGGAAGGGGACGACGUGGAGCUAGGGAAGACGCGGCAGUGGACGCCCACGCGGAGAGGAGUACGAGGGUUCAUUGGUUCGACUCCGAUGUGUGAGGAUGCCAUCGCCGCAGGGCCUGGCCAGUGGUGGGAGCGGUAGCGGGCGGUGAGGCCUCCGCGGCAGCACAGCCGGCCACGGGAGGCAGGAGCAGGCGGCACGACCGGCGCUGCUUUGGGCGGCUAGAGCAAGAAGACCAGAGGUUGAAGAAUCACGACGGCCGUUGGAUGGACAUCGUACUGUCACUGCAGCUAGAAUCGUUUAUAUUGACUAAGUUGACAAAGCCCUUGAUACGCGUCAACUGAUACUUCUCCAACGUAUCUAUAAUUUUUGAUUGUUCCAUGCUAUUAUAUUAUCUGUUUUGGAUGUUUAAUGGGCUUUAAUAUGCUCUUUUAUAUUAUUUUUGGGACUAACCUAUUAACCGAAGGCCCAGUGCGAAUUGCUGUUUUUUUGCCUAUUUCAGUGUUUCGCAGAAAAGGAAAAUCAAACGGAAUCCAAACGGAACGAAACCUUUGCGAGGAUAUUUCUUGGAACAAACGCAACCCAGGAGACUUGGAGUGGAAGUUAGGGAAGCUACAAGGAAGCCACGAGGCAGGAGGGUGUGCCCCCCACCCUCGUGGGCCCCUCGCAGCUCUACCGACCUACUUCUUUCGCCUAUAUAUGAAGGAAAUAUGCCCUAGAGGCAAUAAUAAAGUUAUUAUUUAUUUCCUUAUAUCAUGAUAAAUGUUUAUUAUUCAUGCUAGAAUUGUAUUAACCGGAAACAUAUUACAUGUGUGAAUACAUAGACAAACAGAGUGUCACUAGUAUGCAUCUACUUGACUAGCUCGUUGAUCAAAGAUGGUUAUGUUUCCUAGCCAUAGACAUGAGUUGUCAUUUGAUUAACGGGAACACAUCAUUAGGAGAAUGAUGUGAUUGACUUGACCCAUUCCGUUAGCUUAGCACUCAAUCGUUUAGUAUGUUGCUAUUGCUUUCUUCAUGACUUAUACAUGUUCCUAUGACUAUGAGAUUAUGAAACUCCCGUUUACCGGAGGAACACUUUGUGUGCUACCAAACGGGGUGAUUAUAAAGGUGCUCUACAGGUGUCUCCGAAGGUACUUGUUGGGUUGGCGUAUUUCGAGAUUAGGAUUUGUCACUCCGAUUGUCGGAGAGGUAUCUCUGGGCCCUCUCGGUAAUGCACAUCACUUAAGCCUUGCAAGCAUUGCAACUAAUGAGUUAGUUGUGGGAUGAUGUAUUAUGGAACGAGUAAAGAGACUUGCCGGUAACGAGAUUGAACUAGGUAUUGAGAUAUCGACGAUCGAAUCUCGGGCAAGUAACAUACCGAUGACAAAGGGAACAACAUAGUUGUUAUGCGGUCUGACCGAUAAAGAUCUUCGUAGAAUAUGUGGGAGCCAAUAUGAGCAUCCAGGUUCCUCUAUUGGUUAUUGACCGGAGACGUGUCUCGGUCAUGUUUACAUAGUUCUCGAACCCGUAGGGUCCGCACGCUUAACGUUUCGAUGACAGUUAUAUUAUGAGUUUAUGUGUUUUGACGUACCGAAGGUAGUUCGGAGUCCCGGAUGAGAUCGGGGACAUGACGAGGAGUCUCGAAAUGGUCGAGACGUAAAGAUCGAUAUAUUGGACGACUAUAUUCGGACAUCGGAAAGGUUCUGAGUGAUUCGGGUAUUUUUCGGAGUACGGGAGAGUUACGGGAAUUCGCUGGGGAGUAUAUGGCCUUAUUGGGCUUUAGGGGAAAGAGAGAGGAGAGGCUGGGCGCCCCCCAAGGCCUAGUCCGAAUUGGACUAGGGGGAGGGGUUGCGCCCCCUCCUUCCUUCUCUUCUCUCUCCCCUUUCCUUGACUCCUACUCCUACUACUUGGAAGGGGGAAUCCUACUCCCGGUGGGAGUAGGACUCCCCCUUGGCGCGCCUCUCCCUGGCCGGCCGCCUCCUCCCCUUGCUCCUUUAUAUACGGGGGCAGGGGGCACCCCAUAGACACAACAAUUGAUCAUUGAUCUUUUAGCCGUGUGCGGUGCCCCCCUCCACCAUAGUCCACCUCGAUAAUAUCGUAGCGGUGCUUAGGCGAAGCCCUGCGUCGGUAGAACAUCACCAUCGUCACCACGCCAUCGUGCUGACGAAACUCUCCCUCAACACUCGGCUGGAUCGGAGUUCGAGGGACGUCAUCGUGCCGUGUGCUGAACUCAAAGGUGCCGUGCGUUCGGUACUUGAUCAGUCGGAUCGUGAAGAUGUACGACUACAUCAACCGCGUUGUGCUAACGCUUCCGCUUUCGGUCUACGAGGGUACGUGGACAAUACUCUCCCCUCUCGUUACUAUGCAUCACCAUGAUCCUGUGUGUGCGUAGGAAUCUUUUUGAAAUUACUAUGUUCCCCAACAGUGGCAUCCGAGCCAGGUUUUAUGCGUUGAUGUAAUAUGCACGAGUAGAACACAAGUGAGUUGUGGGCGAUAUAAGUCAUACUGCUUACCAGCAUGUCACACUUUGGUUCGGUGGUAUUGUUGGAUGAAGCGGCCCGGACCGACAUUACGCGUACGCUUACGCGAGACUGGUUUUACCGCCGUGCUAUGCACACAGUUGACUAGCGGGUGUCAGUUUCUCCAACUUUAGUUGAACUGAGUGUGGCCACGCCCGGUCCUUGCGAAGGUUAAAACAACACCAACUUGACAAACUAUCGUUGUGGUUUUGAUGCGUAGGUAAGAACGGUUCUUGCUCAGCCCGUAGCAGCCACGUAAAACUUGCAACAACAAAGUAGAGGAUGUCUAACUUGUUUUUGCAGGGCAUGUUGUGAUGUGAUAUGGUCAAGACAUGAUGCUAUAUUUUGUUGUAUGAGAUGAUCAUGUUUUGUUGAAGUUAUCAGCAACUGGCAGAAGCCUUAUGGUUGUCUCUGUAUUGCAUAAGAUGCAAGUGCCAAAUAAUUGCUUUACUUUAUCGCUAUGCGAUAGCAAUAGUUGCAAGAGCAAUAGUUGGCGAGAUGACCAUGUGACGACACAUUGAUAUAGAUCAAGAUGAUGGAGAUCAUGGUGUCAUGCCGGUGACGAUGGAAAUCAUGACGAUGCUUUGAAGAUGGAGAUCAAAGGCACAAGAUGAUGAUGGCCAUAUCAUGUCACAUAUUUUGAUUGCAUGUGAUGUUUAUCUUUUAUACAUCUUAUUUUGCUUAGUUCGACGGUAGCUUUAUAAGAUGAUCUCUCACUAAUUAUCAAGGUACAAGUGUUCUCCCUGAGUAUGCACCGUUGCGAAAGUUCUUCGUGCUGAGACACCAUGUGAUGAUCGGGUGUGAUAGGCUCUACGUUCAAAUACAACGGGUGCAAAACAGUUGCACACGCGGAAUACUCAGGUUAAACUUGACGAGCCUAGCAUAUAACAGAUAUGGCCUCGGAACACUGAGACCGAAAGGUCGAGCGUGAAUCAUAUAGUAGAUAUGAUCAACAUAGUGAUGUUCACCAUUGAAACUACUCCAUCUCACGUGAUGAUCCGACAUGGUUUAGUUGAAAUGGAUCACGUGAUCACUUAGAGGAUUAGAGGGAUGUCUAUCUAAGUGGGAGUUCUUUAAGUAAUAUGAUUAAUUGAACUUUAAUUUAUCAUGAACUUAGUCCUGGUAGUAUUAGCAUAUCUAUGUUGUAGAUCAAUAGCUCGUGUUUAGCUCCCCUGUUUUAUUUUUGAUAUGUUCCUAGAGAAAACUAUGUUGAAAGAUGUUAGUAGCAAUGAUGCGGAUUGGAUCCGUGAUCUGAGGUUUAUUCUCAUUGCUGCACAGAAGAAUUAUGUCCUUGAUGCACCGCUAGGUGACAGACCUAUUGCAGGAGCAGAUGCAGACGUUAUGAACGUUUGGCUAGCUCAAUAUGAUGACUACUUGAUAGUUUAGUGCACCAUGCAUAACGGCUUAGAAUCGGGACUUCAAAGAUGUUUUUGAACAUCAUGGACCAUAUGAGAAGUUCCAGGAGUUGAAGUUAAUAUUUCAAGCAAAUACCCGAGUUGAGAGAUAUGAAGUCUCCAACAAGUUCUAUAGCUAAAAGAUGGAGGAGAAUAGCUCAAGCAGUGAGCAUGUGCUCAGAUUGUCUGGGUACUACAAUCGCUUGAAUCAAGUGGGAGUUAAUCUUCCAGAUAAGAUAGUGAUUGACAUAAUUCUCUAGUCACCAUCACCAAGUUAGUAGAACUUCGUGAUGAACUAAAGUAUGCAAGGGAUAACGUAGACGAUUCCCGAGCUUUUCAUGAUGAUGAAAUCAGAAAUCAAGAAAGAGCAUCAAGUGUUGAUGAUUAACAAGACCACUAGUUUCAAGAAAAGGGCAAAGGGAAAGAAAGGGAACUUCAUGUAGAACAGCAAGCAAGUUGCUGCUCAAGUGAAGAAGCCCAAGUUUGGACCUAAGCCUGAGACUGAGUGCUUCUACUUCAAAAGGACUGGUCACUAGAAGCAGAACUACCCCAAAUAAUUGGCGGAUAAGAAGGAUGGCAAAGUGAACAAAAGUAUAUUUGAUAUACAUGCUAUUGAUGUAUACUUUACUAGUGUUUAUAGCAACCCCUCAGUAUUUGAUACUGGUUUAGUUGCUAAGAGUAGUAACUUAAAACAGGAGUUGCAAAAUGAACAUAGACUAGUUAAGGAUGAAGUGACGAUGUGUGUUGGAAGUAGGUCCAAGAUUUAUGUGAUCAUCAUCGCACAAUCCAUAUAACUUUCGGGAUUAGUGUUGAACCUAAAUAAGUGUUAUUUGGUGUUUGCGUUGAGCAUGAAUAUGAUUGGAUCAUGUUUAUUGCAAAACGGUUAUUCAUGUAAGUUGGAGAAUAAUUGUUGUUCUGUUUACAUGAAUAAAACCUUCUAUGGUCAUACACCCAAUGAAAAUGGUUUGUUGGAUCUCGAUCGUGGUGAUACACAUUUUCAUAAUAUUGAAGCCAAAAGAUGCAAAGUUAAUAAUGAUAGUGCAACUUAUUUGUGGCACUACCGUUUAGGUCAUAUUGGUGUAAAGCGCAUGAAGAAACUCCAUGCUGAUGGACUUUUGGAAUCACUUGAUGCUUGCGAACCAUGCCUCAUGGGCAAGAUGACUAAGACUCCGUUCUCCGGAACAAUGGAGCGAGCAACUGACUUAUUGGAAAUAAUACAUACUGAUGUAUGCGGUCCGAUGAGUGUUAAGGCUCGCGGCAAGUAUCAUUAUUUUCUGACCUUCACAGAUGAUUUGAGCAGAUAUGGGUAUAUCUACUUGAUGAAACACAAGUCUGAAACAUUUGAAAAGUUCAAAGAAUUUCAGAGUGAAGUGGAGAAUCAUCGUAACAAGAAAAUAAAAGUUUCUACGAUAAGAUCGCAGAGAUGAAAUAUUUGAGUUACGAGUUUGGCCUUCAGUUAAAACAAUGUGAAAUAGUUUCACUACUCACGCCACCUGGAACACCUCAGUGUAAUGGUGUGUCCGAACGUCAUAACCGUACUUUAUUGGAUAUAGUGCAAUCUAUGAUGUCUCUUACCGAUUUACCACUAUCGUUCUGGGGUUAUGCAUUAGAGACAGCUGCAUUCACAUUAAAUAGGGCACCGUCUAAUCCGUUGAGACGACACCGUAUGAACUAUGGUUUGGCAAGAAACCUAAGCUGUCGUUUCUUAAAGUUUGGGGCUGCGAUGCUUAUGUGAAAAAGCUUCAACCUGAUAAGCUCAAACCCAAAUCGGAGAAAUGUGUCUUCAUAGGAUACCCAAAGGAGACUGUUGGGUACACCUUCUAUCAUAGAUCCGAAGGCAAGACAUUCGUUGCUAAGAAUGGAUCCUUUCUAGAGAAGGAGUUUCUCUCGAAAGAAGUGAGUGGGAGGAAAGUAGAACUUGAUGAGGUAACUGUACCUGCUCCCUUAUUGGAAAGUAGUUCAUCACAGAAAUCUAUUCCUGUGACUCCUACACCAAUUAGUGAGAAAGCUAAUGAUGAUGAUCAUGUAACUUCAGAUCAAGUUACUACCAAACCUCAUAGGUCAACCAGAGUGAGAUCCGCACCAGAGUGGUACGGUAAUCCUGUUCUGGAGGUCAUGUUACUAGACCAUGACGAACCUACGAACUAUGAAGAAGCGAUGGUGAGCCUAGAUUCCGCAAAAUGGCUUGAGGCCAUGAAAUAUGAGAUGGGAUCCAUGUAUGAGAAUAAAGUAUGGACUUUGAUUGACUUGCCCAAAUGAUCGGCAAGCCAUUGAGAUUAAAUGGAUCUUCAAGAGGAAGACGGACGCUGAUAGUAGUGUUACUAUCUACAAAGCUAGAAUUGUCACAAAAGGUUUUCGACAAGUUCAAGGUGUUGACUACGAUGAGAGUUUCUCACUCGUAUCUAUGCUUAAGUCUGUCCGAAUCAUGUUAGCAAUUGCCGCAUUUUAUGAAAACUGGCAAAUGGAUAAACAAAACCGCAUUCCUUAAUGGAUUUAUUAAAGAAGAGUUGUAUAUGAUGCAACCAGAAGGUUUUGUCGAUCCAAAGGGAGCUAACAAAGUGUGCAAGCUCCAGCGAUCCAUUUAUGGACUGGUGCAAGCCUCUCGGAGUUGGAAUAAAUGCUUUGAUAGUGUGAUCAAAGCAUUUGGUUUUGUACAGACUUUUGGAAAAACCUGUAUUUACAAGAAAGUGAGUGGGAGCACUACAACAUUUCUGAUAAGUAUAUGUGAAUGACAUAUCAUUGAUCGGAAAUAAUGUAGAAUUAUUCUGCAAAGCAUAAAGGAGUGUUUGAAAGGAGUUUUUUAAAGAAAGACCUCAGUGAAGCUGCUUACAUAUUGAGCAUCAAGAUCUAUAGAGAUAGAUCAAAACGCUUGAUAAGUUUUUUCAAUGAGUACAUACCUUGACAAGAUUUUGAAGUAGUUCAAAAUGGAACAGUCAAAGAAAGGGUUCUUGCCUGUGUUACAAGGUGUGAAAUUGAGUAAGACUCAAAACCCGACCACGGCAGAAGAUAGAAAGAGAAUGAAAGUCAUUCCCUAUGCCUCGGCCAUAGGUUCUAUAAAGUAUGCCAUGCUGUGUACCAGAUCUAUUGUAUACCCUACACUGAUUUUGGCAAGGGAGUACAAUAGUGAUCUAGGAGUAGAUCACUGGACAUCGGUCAAAAUAAUCCUUAGUGGAAUAAGGAUAUGUUUCUCGAUUAUGGAAGUGACAAAAGGUUCCUCGUAAAGGGUUACGUCGAUGCAAGUUUUGACACUAAUCUAGACGACUCUAAGUCUCGGUCUAGAUACAUAUUGAAAGUGGGAGAAAUUAGCUAGAGUAGCUCCGUGCAGAGCAUUGUUGACAUAGAAAUUUGCAAAAUACAUACAAAUCUGAAUGUGGCAGACCCGUUGACUAAACUUCUCUCACAAGCAAAACAUGAUCACACCUUAGUACUCUUUAGGUGUUAAUCACAUAGCGAUGUGAACUAGAUUAUUGACUCUAGUAAACCCUUUGGGUGUUGGUCACAUGACGAUGUGAACUAUGGGUGUUAAUCACAUGGUGAUGUGAACUAUUGGUAUUAAAUCACAUGGUGAUGUGAACUAGAUUAUUGACUCUAGUGCAAGUGGGAGACUGAAGGAAAUAUGCCCUAGAGGCAAUAAUAAAGUUAUUAUUUAUUUCCUUAUAUCAUGAUAAAUGUUUAUUAUUGAUGCUAGAAUUGUAUUAACCGGAAACAUAUUACAUGUGUGCAUACAUAGACAAACAGAGUGUCACUAGUAUGCCUCUACUUGACUAGCUCGUUGAUCAAAGAUGGUUAUGUUUCCUAGCCAUAGACAUGAGUUGUCAUUUGAUUAACGGGAUCACAUCAUUAGGAGAAUGAUGUGAUUGCCUUGACCCAUUCUGUUAGCUUAGCACUCGAUCGUUUAGUAUGUUGCUAUUGCUUUCUUCAUGACUUAUACAUCUUCCUAUGACUAUGAGAUUAUGCAACUCCCGUUUACCGGAGGAACACUUUGUGUGCUACCAAACAUCACAACAUAACUGGGUGAUUAUAAAGGUGCUCUACAGGUGUCUCCGAAGGUACUUGUUGGGUUGGCGUAUUUCGAGAUUAGGAUUUGUCACUCCGAUUGUCGGAGAGGUAUCUCUGGGCCCUCUCGGUAAUGCACAUCACUUAAGCCUUGCAAGAAUUGUAACUAAUGAGUUAGUUGUGGGAUGAUGUAUUACGGAACGAGUAAAGAGACUUGCCAGUAACAAGAUUGAACUAGGUAUUGAGAUAGCAACGAUCGAAUCUCGGGCAAGUAACAUACCGAUGACAAAGGGAAUAACGUAUGUUGUUAUGCGGUCUGACCGAUAAAGAUCUUCGUAGAAUAUGUGGGAGCCAAUAUGAGCAUCCAGGUUCCGCUAUUGGUUAUUGACCGGAGACGUGUCUCGGUCAUGUCUACAAAGUUCUCAAACCCGUAGGGUCCGCACGCUUAACGUUUCGAUGACGGUUAUAUUAUGAGUUUAUGUGUUUUGAUGUACCGAAGGUAGUUCGGAGUCCCGGAUGAGAUCGGGGACAUGACGAGGAGUCUCGAAAUGGUCGAGACGUAUAGAUCGAUAUAUUGGACGACUAUAUUCGGACAUCGGAAAUGUUCCGAGUGAUUCGGGUAUUUUUUGGAGUACCGGAGAGUUACGGGAAUUCGCCGGGGAGUAUAUGGCCUUAUUGGGCUUUAGGGGAAAGAGAGAGGAGAGGCUGGACGUCCCCCAAGGCCUAGUCCGAAUUGGACUAGGGGGAGGGGUUGCGCCCCCUCCUUCCUUCUNNNNNNNNNNNNNNNNNNNNNNNNNNNNNNNNNNNNNNNNNNNNNNNNNNNNNNNNNNNNNNNNNNNNNNNNNNNNNNNNNNNNNNNNNNNNNNNNNNNNNNNNNNNNNNNNNNNNNNNNNNNNNNNNNNNNNNNNNNNNNNNNNNNNNNNNNNNNNNNNNNNNNNNNNNNNNNNNNNNNNNNNNNNNNNNNNNNNNNNNNNNNNNNNNNNNNNNNNNNNNNNNNNNNNNNNNNNNNNNNNNNNNNNNNNNNNNNNNNNNNNNNNNNNNNNNNNNNNNNGAAUCCUACUCCCGGUGGGAGUAGGACUCCCCCUUGGCGCGCCUCUCCCUGGCCGGCCGCCUCCUCCCCUUGCUCCUUUAUAUACGGGGGCAGGGGGCACCCCAUAGACACAACAAUUGAUCAUUGAUCUUUUAGCAGUGUGCGGUGCCCCCCUCCACCAUAGUCCACCUCGAUAAUAUCGUAGCGGUGCUUAGGCGAAGCCCUGCGUCGGUAGAACAUCAUCAUCGUCACCACACCUUCGUGCUGACGAAACUCUCCCUCAACACUCGGCUGGAUCGGAGUUCGAGGGACGUCAUCGAGCUGAACGUGUGCUGAACUCGGAGGUGCCGUGCGUUCGGUACUUGAUCAGUCGGAUCAUGAAGACGUACGACUACAUCAACCGCGUUGUGCUAACGCUUCCGCUUUCGGUCUACGAGGGUACGUGGACAACACUCUCCCCUCUCGUUGCUAUGCAUCACCAUGAUCCUGUGUGUGCAUAGGAUUUUUUUUGAAAUUACUACGUUCCCCAACAAUAUUACUCUUAUACCCUAAAAACAUCCAGGAGAGCCACGAAACACUUUUCCACCGCCGCAACCUUCUGUACCUAUGAGAUCCCAUCUUGGGGCCUUUUCCGGCGCUGCGCCGGAGGGGGAAUCGAUCACGGAGGGCUUCUACAUCAACACCAUAGCCUCUCCAAUGAUGUGUGAGUAGUUUACCACAGACCUUCGGGUCCAUAGUUAUUAGCUAGAUGGCUUCUUCUCUCUCUUUGGAUCUCAAUACAAAGUUCUCCUCGAUUCUCUUGGAGAUCUAUUCGAUCUAAUUCUUUUUGCGGUGUGUUUGUCGAGAUCCAAUGAAUUGUGGGUUUAUGAUCAAGAUUAUCUAUGAACAAUAUUUGAUUCUUCUCUGAAUUCUUAUAUGCAUGAUUUGAUAUCUUUGCAAGUCUCUUCGAAUUAUCAGUUUGGUUUGGCCUACUAGAUUGAUCUUUCUUGCAAUGGGAGAAGUGCUUAGCUUUGGGUUCAAUCUUGCGGUGCUCGAUCCCAGUGACAGAAAGGGAACCGACACGUAUUGUAUUGUUGCCAUCGAGGAUAAAAAGCUGGGGUUUAUAUCAUAUUGCUUGAGUUUAUCCCUCUACAUCAUGUCAUCUUGCCUAAUGCGUUACUUUGUUCUUAUGAACUUAAUACUCUAGAUGCAUGCUGGAUAGCGGUUGAUGUGCGGAGUAAUAGUAGUAGAUGCAGAAUCGUUUCGGUCUACUUGACACGGACAUGAUGCCUAUGUUCAUGAUCAUGCCUAGAUAUUCUCAUAACUAUGCACUUUUCUAUCAAUUGCUCGACAGUAAUUUGUUCACCCACCGUAAAAUAUGCUAUCUUGAGAGAAGCCUCUAGUGAAACCUAUGGCCCCCGGGUCUACUUUACAUCAUAUGAGUUUCCGAUCUAUUAUUCUAGUUUACUAUUUAUUUUGCAAUCUUUACUUUUCAAUCUAUACAACAAAAAUACCAAAAAAUAUUUAUCUUAUUAUCUUUAUCAGAUCUCAGUUUUGCAAGUGGCCGUGAAGGGAUUGAGAACCCCUUUAUCGUGUUGGUUGCAAGGUUCUUGAUUGUUUGUGCAGGUACUAGGCGAUUUGCGUGUAGUCUCCUACUGGAUUGAUACCUUGGUUCUCAAAAACUGAGGGAAAUGCUUACGCUACUUUGCUGCAUCACCCUUUCCUCUUCAAGGGAAAACCAAUGCAUGCUCAAGAGGUAGCAAGAAGGAUUUCUGGCGCCAUUGCCGGGGAGAUCUACGCUCAAGUCAAGACAUACCAAGUACCCAUCACAAACUCUUAUCCCUCGCAUUACAUUAUUUGCCAUUCGCCUCUCGUUUUCCUCUCCCCCACUUCUAGAAUGAUUUUCGAAAACCUUUGCCUUUUCUUCGCCUUCUUCCCGUAUGUAUCUUUGUUUGUGUUUCCAUGUGCCUUCUAUUUGCUUGCAUCUUUGCUUGCUAAAAAUCUGUUGAUCUGGAUCCACUUAAAGUGUUCUACUUAGAUCAUCUUCGAUCCUUAUGCGCUUGUGCUGAAACCCCAACUAGCCUAGUUGAUGGGAAAUCUUUAGAUGAGCAUGCUCAUUUUGCGCGUCACCGUUUGUCUGAAAAAGGGAGACUCUUAUGGGAUCAAAUAAACAGAUUGCUGUGUUAUGCUUGGAAUCUUUGUGAAAUUUAUGAUUUUACUUAUUGCUCUAAGAACCCUGAAAAACACCUCCCCUACCUCAGCCUGGGCGUUCGGUCUUUUCGGUUUGUUCGGUUCGGUCUUUUCGGUCUUUCAAGAAUUCGGUCUUCCAUAAUUGAAGACCGAAAUAAUUUCGGUCUUUUCGGUUUUCCACUAUUCGGUCUUCGGUCUUUACAUACCAAUGUUCGGUCCCAACCAAACAGACCAAAUUUAGUGACACAACUCAGAUUCAUAUACAUUACUUCCAGUAUUUGCACAUAUUUAUUUAUGCAAAAUUGAGACAACAAAUGUAUGUACAUUGGUGCGUGUGUGUAUAAGAAAAAUUAGACAAGUGUUAGACAACAAAAGUAUGUAACAGGCUAACAUCACAAAUUCUGAACAAUAUAGCUUUGCACAUACAUAAGUAUGCAUUAACAUAGGUACGCACACACAUUCAAUAAUCUGGACAUGACACAAGGCUCUGCACUUAGGCAUUAUUGGCCGAUCUGAUGCACUCAUGCACAUACAUAAGAGUCACUUGCUCAUCUUCAAGCUUCAGUUGCGAGGUAAAGCACCGGAAAAGGAGAGUAGGCGGCAGCCAGCUUGGAAGAGACGGUGGCGACGGAUUGACGCCAGUGCAGCAGCGUGGAAGGGGACGGGAUCUGAAGCACCACUGGCGGAUGGCGAUUCGCAGGCUGUGGAGCGAUGUACGGGAGGUUGGGUUGCCGGGCGGUCGUCACUGGUCACGGCAGCAGAUCGGCGCGGAUCUCACCGGUCAUGGCCGCGGAUCGGAGCGCUCCUUGGGGAGGCGGUCGUCACGGGGCCUCGUCUCUUAGCGGCGGCUAGGGUUGGUCAUUGGCAGAGAAGGGGGAGGAACGAGAGUGAGGCUGCGGUUCGUGCCUCUGUGUCGCUCGUCGUGAGGAGGUGAGGUAGUGUCUUGCUCGUGAGGAUUGGGCUAGCCAGUUGGGCCUUAGGUAAACAUUGUUGUGCGUGUGGGCUUUUAAAAUAGAUCGGUCUAUAUGGUCUUUUCGGUCCUGCAGGGUAGGGGACCGAUUUGACCGUAUUAAAUUUGGUCAUGUAGUUUUGCAGACCAAAGUUUAUUCAGCCUUUUUUAGUUCGGUCUUUUCGGGUUCGGUCUCGGUCUUUUCGGGUUCGGUUUUCGGUCUUCGGUUUUUAUGCCCGGGGUGACCCCUACCUAUGUGAGUUUAAUGAUAAUGAAAUCUUAUCUUCUUAUGCAAAGGGUGUUUAUAGUUAUUACGAUAUCGAACAAAUUGAAGAAUUUGUUGCUUUUAAGGGUGCUUAUGAAGUUGCUUCUUUGAUUGAAAAGUAUGAUAUUACUCUCUACGAAUCUGAAAAUUUUGACAUACUUAAAUAUUGCUAUGAAAACUAUGCUCAUAAUGUCUAUGUCAAAGAAUUUAUUGAAAGAAUGACCGUUGCUUCUGAAGAAAAUAAUGAUAUGCAUGAAUCUAUGGAUAAUUAUGAUUCCGAUGAUUUGAUUGAAAUAUCCCUUGAUGAACUUGAUGCUUGCUAUUCUUGUGGCCAUGAUGCCAAUAUUUAUGAAGAUGAAUUUGCUACAGUUCCUUAUGUUAAACAUGAGAUCGUUGCUAUUGCACCCAUACUUGAUAGUUCCUUCGAUGAAAAGCAUGAUUGCAAUGAUGUUAUUAUAAAUUCUCUUGAUGUCAAUUGUGCUAAUAAUAUGCAAAACCCUAAGCUUGGGGAUGCUAGUUUUGCUAUGUCUACUACUUGUUGCAAUGAUCAUGAUUGGGGUGAUUCUUCUUAUGAUCUUGAAAAUUUAUUUAAGCCCCAUGAUGAAUAUGAGGUUGAUAAUAAUGUUUACAAUAAUAUUGAAAGUGGGUUUGGAAGAGUGUCAACUUUAGAUCCCACAUAUUUGGAGAAUGUUCAAUCAUAUGAAGUUGUUGAUAAAAGUGGGUUUGGAGAGGUCAUGACUUUAGUUAAUGUUAAUCCCACUAUUUUGGAAGAGUGUCAACUUUGCAUACAUGUGGAUCGUGUUAAGAAUAUGUUUUGUCAUAGCUAUAUUGUUGAAUUUUAUUAUGAUCCUACAUGUAAUUAUUAUGAGAGAGGAAAAUAUGGUUGUAGAAAUUUUCAUGUUACUAAAUUACCUCUCUUUAUGUUGAGAUUGCUAUUGUUUCUUUCCGCUUUGUUGCAUAUGCUAGUUUUUGCUUGCCUUGAUAAUUUGUUUGCCUAUAAGAUGCCUAUGCAUAGGAAGUAUGUUAGACUUAGAUGUGUUUUUCAUAUACUAUAUGAUGCUCUCUUUGUGCUUCAAAUCUUGUCUUUCAUGUGAGCAUCAUCGAAAUUAUCAACGAUAGCGCUUGUUGGGAGGCAACCCAAUUUUAUUUUUGUUCCUUGCUUUUUGUUCCUGUUUAGUAAUAAAUAAUUCAUCUAGCCUAUGUUUAGAUGUUGUUUUAUGUUUUAAUUAGUGUUUGUGCCAAGUAGAACCGUUGGGAAGACUUGGGUGGAGUCUUUGUGAUCUUGCUGUAAAAAACAGAAACUUUACCGCUCACGAGAUUAGCUGCCAUUUUUUACUGGAGAGUGAUUUUAGGUUGAUUCUUUUUUCAGAUGGUUAAUAGAUAAAUUCCUCACGUCCACAAAUUUAUUUCAGAAUUUCUUAGCUUCCGUGCUACAGCUAGAUCUUCCCCUCGUUUCUGUUUUCCAACUUGGCGGCGGGCGGGGUGCGGUUUGCCAAUACUCGGUUUGCUCAAUGGCGGUCCCACAUGAAAGUGAAAUGCUAGGCAACAUGCCUUCCCUAGCUAUGUGGCAUGCUGGACGGGCCGUGGAGUACUCCCGAUUCCCAGGUGUGUGGGGGUGCGACGCGAACGCGGCAGGCCUUUUCCUUUUACUCGCAAUGUGCCCGUGCGUUGCGAUGGAUCCAAAGUAGUAGAAUAGUAGUACUUAUUCACAAACUUGAAAGAAAUCACUCUUGUUUUGAUAUACUCGUAAUAUAUUACUUUUCACUUGUCGGGGGUUGGGUGCGACAUAUGCCAAGGGAUGACUUAUCAUGGUGGGAGCGAGUAGAACGUCACCGGUGCCUGGAAGCAGGAUGAGGCGUAGACACGAACGCCGGCGCACUUUACCCAGGUUCGGGGCUCUCCUAGGAGAUAACACCCCUAGUCCUGCUCUGCGGGGUCUCGGCAUGAUCACUAAGGCACUAGUGAGUACAAUGGUGCUCCUCGAGUUGUUUGCUAGAGGUGGAAGAAAGCAAGGCUUGCCCUCUCCUCUCUCUAUGGGUCGGUCUAGUUCUAACAGGUUUGGAAUCCUUUGCAUGGGUGCCCUGGGGGGUUUAUAUAGGCCUACCCCCAGGCGUACAAUAGUAAUCCGGCCGGGUGGAGGACCCGGCUGUCAGUCUCUCUGGUGGCCGGCUUCUCCGCGGCUGCUGGGGCCCGCCGCCUGGUGGGCCCCGCCGACUGGUCUGGUACGGAGCCGACAGGCCGCCCCCGCCGCUCACGGGUCUUGUCGGCUGCUGAUCACUAUAGCCGUGAUGCUAAUGACGCAGGCUCGAUCACGGGAGCGUGGCUACAGCCCCGCCGCCUGGCGGCGAUUACUGUAGCCACUCUGUGUCUUGUCUGGUUAAUGGCGCGCGGGUCCCGAGGAAGGGGCGGGCCGACUGCUGGGGGCCGACCUCCCUCGGAUCCGACUGGUGGGGCUCUAGCCGUCUUCCGGGCUCUCGCUGAUCGGUGGGGCCCGUCGUCCUUGGGCCGUACCGACAUGCCAUCGUGGGAGCAGGGCUCCGCCUGCUUGUGGUGACGUCAGGGGUGGAGUGGCAACAGUAUCGCGCCGGACGGAGAUCUCCGCCGGUACGGUGCACUGUAGCCACGCCCAUCCCUGGAUUCGGGAGGGAUGGGCUAUACUGUAGCCACUCCCUGUCUUGUCUUUCUUGAUGAGGGCGCAGGCUUCGUGGGCGCCUCGGGCCAGCUGCUAGGGGCUGGCUUCUCUGGAAGCCGCCUACUAGGAGUCGGCUUGUCUUGAUGUCGGCUUCUGGAACUCGGCCGUCUACGGGCAGCCGGCUAUCCCUCCAGCCGGCCACCAGAAGGCGACACUUCGUCUUGGUGCUUUGAGGGGCGCAGCCAACCCCGAUGUCUUGAAAGGUUCUGGAUCUCGGGUUAGCCUACCCGUGGUCCAUUACUCCGACUGUAGUCCCCGAAGCUGGUGAGGUGCCGCGGCUGAGCAGUCGAGGAGCCUCAGCAGUUUCUUUCUCCGAGGGCUUGAGGUGGAGCUUCGUCCGACUUCUGCCGAGCCGACUGGCGGGAGUCGGCCUCGCCCAGCCUGACUUAUCCAAACUUUGAACGCGUUGGCGGGAACCAAGUGGCGUGCUAGCUAAGCCUCCAGGCCGCCGCCAGUUGUGGGCACGUCACGUGGCGCCGAGCAGCCGGGCCAGUCUGCCAACCCACGCUCGCGAUGGGACACGCCUGCUGGCGGGGCCCGCCACUACCAUGCCUCGGCAUGCGAGCGGAUCCGCUGUGGCCGAGGUGGGCGGUUGAGUUUCCCGCGGAGUUACUGCGCGCAGUAACUCGCGCGAUAAACGUGGGGGCGUGGGGUCAUGGGCGCAGUAAAUCCCACGAUCGCCCCCUCGGCUUCGCAGCCCGUAGGCCUAUAAGUAGGGGAAGGAGGGGGAGCGGCGGAGCACACGCGCCCCUCCUCCCCAUUCUUUCCUCCUUCUUCUUCCUCUCGCCGUAGCGCCUCCAAGCCACGCUGAGCGCUGUGGUGGUUCGUCUCCGAUGAGCUCAUCUUCCAAUCCCACGCCCUCCAUGGCGUGCUCCGGAGCAUGGGACGGCUCCGAAGUUCAUGACGACCACAUCGACUUCCUCCGCCAGACGCGGCGGCUGCCCGAAAAAGAUUACGUGAAGGUCCGCCUCGCGCCGAAGAGGGAGAUCUCGCCGCCGCCGGAGGAGGGCGAGCGGGUCGUCUUCCGCUCGCACUGCCUGCGCGGCCUCGGCCUGCCGGCGAGCAGCUUCUUCCGAUCCUUCCUUGAGUUCUACGGUCUUCAGCCGCACCACCUCACCCCGAACACGGUGGUGCUGUUGUCCGCCUUCGUCACUCUAUGCGAAGGCUUCCUCGACGUCCUCCCCACCAUCGAGCUCUGGGGAGAGUUUUUCUACAUGAAGCUCGGCACCCUCGUCGCGGGCGUGCUGGCUCAAUGCGGCGCGUUUAUCGCGGUGCGGAGGCCGGUGGCCGAAAAUCCGUUUCCUCCCAUCCCGCUGAUCAAGUCGGUGAAGAUGUGGCAGCAGUCGUACUUCUACGUGAAGAGCGUCUUCCCGGAGGGCGACUGGGUCAACUUGCCGGCUUACGAAGCCGACGCGCCGGCUGGGAGGCGGCCCAACUGGCCGUACCGGGCCAAGACACUGUCACCUUCUGGAGCCGCUGUCAUCGCGCGGCUCCGAGUGUUGACACAGUCGGAGGGCCUGACCGGGCCCGACUUGCUGUCCGCCUUUGUGGCGCGCCGAGUGCUCCCGCUCCAGGGCCGCCAACAUAUGAUCUGUCAGAUGAGCGGGCAUCGGGACCCAAGCCGGCUGUGCACCAAGGGGAUGCCUCACACAGAGGUAGCUCACAUGGUGAACUAUCUUGCGAACUGUGAGCUCACGGAGGAGUGGCGGUUUGGCAAGGAGCCUAUUCACGCGCCGACCCCUCGCCUAUGGUAAGUUAUCUUUCUUUUUCUCUACCCUCUUUGUUACCGAGUUUGGCCUGUCCAACCUGACCAAUCGGCCUUUGAACAGAGCCCCCCCUCCAGCCGGUAGCCGGCGCCGCGGGGCCGGAGCGCCAAUUCCUCCCCGACCGAGCGGAGAGCGACGUCGACGACCCCGACUUGGGGGCGGCGGCCUUGGAGGACGACACCGAGGGAGGAGGCGGCGAAGCAGGCGGCUCGAGGCUCGGAGCCAGCCUCAAGGACUGGCUCGAUGAUGAUGUGGGGGAAGUCACCCCGCACCACCAGCCAGGGUACGGCCAGCCAGGCGCGAGCUCGUCUGCCGCGCCAGAUGCCCAAGGCGGCGCGAAAAAACGCAGGGCCGCGCCGAGCUUGUUCGGCAGCCGGCCGAAGAAGCCCAAGGGCUCGGCCGUGGCGACCAAGCGGGAUGAAGCGGCCGCGAAGGCCAUCCGCUUCUGCAAGGCGGUGAAGGAGCCGCAGCUGGUUUCCGCGUAAGUACCGCCUUCAUCUCGUACUUUCUCCUUCCUCGCCGAUCUUGUCUGAGUUUUUUUUUGUUUCCUUUGAUCUAGGGCUCCGAUUCUCUUGAGAAGUCGGCCGCCGCCUCCAUCGCGGGGUCGGCGGAGACUUCCACCACCACUCGGCGGAUCAAUCCGGCCGCCGACCUCCGGGAGGCGACGGAGCGGAACGCGCGGGAAGCGCGCGAGGAGUAGGAAGCCGCCCGCCUGGUGAAGGCGGAAGCGGAGAAGGCGGAGGCCGCCGCCCUGAAGAAACUGGCGGAGGCCGAGGCAGCCGAUGCGGCGAAGAAGCAGGCCGAGGAAGCUGCGCACUGCCAAUCGGCUAUAUUCAUCACCCCCCUGAACUCCGCGCCGCCACCACCGGAGUUCGUGGCGCAGACUGGGGAAGCCGGCGACGAGCACCCGAUCAUGGAGAGGGACGGCGGCGACGUCGCCAUGCCGGACGUGAUCGUGCGUCCACCGCCGCCGUCUGGGAACGCGCAAGGCGAGCAGCCGGCGGACCCGUCGGUGCCGCCAGCUGGAAACAAGGUGGCGACGGGCCCGACUCCUGAGGUCGGCACACCGACGCGCCGCCGACUUGCAAAGGCGGCUUCGGCGCCACGCCAGCUAGAGACCGGCGCCGUGAGCUCCUCGAUCCCGGACACCGAGGCAACCAGCGCCGCGCCCACUAGGUGGGUGCGGGGAGGCGAGACGGGCCCUCUGAACAAGGCGAUCCUGGAUGUUCAAGCCAAACUCCGCGCCGAGGCCGACGCUAUCAAGCACUGCAACAAGACGUUCCUGGCAUCGCGAGAGGCCAUCCGGGCACGCUUCUUGCUUCUUCGUUUUAACUCUUGUAUUGCUUCAUGGGGGCGCGUCAGCGCACCCACUGGGUGUAGUCCCCGAGUUCCGGGCCGGCUGCUGAGCAUGCGGCUCGGAACUUUAAAUAGCAGGCUCUAAGCACUGGUAUCCUUGCUGCAGGAUUAUCAUAACCUCCGUGCGGCCGCCUUCAACUCCAAAGUCCAGGAGUUGGAUCAACGUGCUGCCGACUUGUCGGAGAGCCGAAGUAAGUCCUUUUCUUUCUCUGCGGGGGCGCGCUGGCGCACCCGCGGGCUGUAGUCCCCGAGAUUCGGGCCGACUGCUGAGCAGUCGGGCCGGAUCUCCCGGCAACUGUUCUUCUUUCUGCUGGUUACUAACGCCUUUCCCUUCUUCUUUUCUUCUGCAGAGGCCAACGCCGUCUUGCAGCAGCAGCUGGGCGAAGCCAACACCGCGUUGCGCGCUAAGGAGGAGGAGUGCGGCAAGCUGGCUGAAGAGCGUGACCGGCUGGUCGCGUAACUGGCGGAGCAGGCGGAGCUUCUCAAGAAGGCCCAGACGGAGGCGGAGGACAAGGAGACCGGCCUCGCUGCUGAGUUCGCGACCGAACCCUCCGCCUGGACCGACAAGGAGGCGAUGUUGACUUCCGGCUUUCACGAGAUUGAAGACAUAGUUGACGGUGAGCUUCCCUCUUUUUCCUUCUUUGAGCUGCGGACUGCUGGUCGAGCGGGCCUCUUGUCUCUGACUUCGGCUCUUUGCUUUCUGUCUUGGCAGACUUCUUCCCUGGUCACUCUGACGCCGCCAAUCAGGCCAUUGAAGCUGAUCGCAAAGGACGGAGGGCAGAAGGUGUGCAGAUCGCUGCCGACGCCCCCGAACCCUUAGCGAGCAGCUCAUGAGCAUCGAGGCCCGUCUUCGGCCGGCUCACCGGAUGCUACGCCGUCUUCAGCGUGUCGGUGCCCAGGCGAUCGCUGCCCUGUGGCCGGAUAUGCCGGCACCACGCACUCCUAGUCGGACUGCCGACUGGCUGGAGGUGGCGGCCGGCCGUCUUGAGGCCUGGAAGGGCUCCUCGGCCCGGGCUAGAGCGCGCCGGGCCUUGGAAUUCGUCAAGGCGUGGUACCCUGGGCUGAGUCUAGCCCAGCUGGCCACGUUUCGGGUGGAGGCUCAGGAGGAGUUGGCGGUCGUGGAAGAUGACCUUGCCAAGCGCACGGCGGCAAUCGCCGAGUACACCGACACCAGUGUCUUCGUCCCAGAGCGGGUUGAGAACGGCGCCGAGGCACCACCAGAAUGGUUCGGGCUGAACCCGGAGGACGACGAGGACUCGACCGAGGUGAUCGGCUCCAGCGGCAAGGAAGAAGGCGAGGAGGAGGAGGAAGGGGAAGAGGAGGUGCCAGAGGUCGGAGCGGACGGCCAGCCUCAGCUCGACCGCGCCUCCAGCAACGAGCCACUCCCAAGCGAGCCGGCUACCACUUGAGGCGACCAAGCGGAGACUGACCAGCCGGCCGCUCCACCAACCGGCGCCACCGACUCCUCCGAUCCACCGAAUCCAUCUGCCGCUCCCUAGGCCGCCAGUUCAUCUUUUGCUUUACCUGCCUAUCAGUCUCGACGAACUUGUUAAUUUUGCACAAUUCCACCCGCGGGGUGUAUCUCAAACUUCUGUUGAAUAUCGGACAAGGGCCUUUUGCUAUGUAAAAUAUUUUUCCGAGUUAUAUCUUUCCUUGCUUUCUGCUCUUUUGGCUUUUCCCUUUGCCGCCCUCCCUUAGUUGCCGUCUUGCCAGCCGAACAGCCGCUCUGCGGACUGUGGCUGGGUCAAGUACUUAGCUACUUUCGGGAAGGCAAGUACUUAGCCGAUUUAGAACGUUUUAGCAAGUUAAGUAGAAGCCAGCCGGCCGGCUGCUCAACAGCCGGUCGUAGAAGGCGGGAAGCCGGUUUAAACUAUGCACAUGCUUUGGGUCCUUAGCCAUUUUUCAAGUGGGCACCCAUUCUGCCUUACUCCUGCCUACCAGACAGUCGCUCCGCGAGCUGCGGGUUUAGCAGGAGACGGAUUAAGUGCCAACACAUUACUUGUCCGGCUGCAGGAAGCAUUUCAUAGUAUAAGGCGGCGAGUCCCCGGGCCGACUAGUCGGACCCGGUGCCAAGCGGCAUAAAGAAAAUGACACAUUCAUAGGCAUAAUUCUUAUCAUAUAGACAAAAGAGGGCAGUCCCCGAGCUCUUCUCGGGGGACCCGGAGUCUUCGUACUUUAAUACAAAAGGUAGCGUGGUACAUACUGCAUGAACUGUAAAAUCUUCGGAGGAGAUUUGCAUUCCAUGGCCGCUCUGUCUCCUUGCCGGAGUCGUCCCUCUUGCGCACUUGAGGCUUCUGGGCGUCGAUCAGGUAGUAGGAGUCGUUUCCCAACACCUUGCUGAUGAUGAAGGGGCCUUCCCAAGGCGCUGAGAGCUUGUGCUGGCCGGCUGUUCGCUGGAUCAGCUGGAGCACAAGGUCUCCCUCUUGGAAAGAUCUCGGCUUGACCUUCCGGUUGUAGUAUCGGCGCAGGCUCUGCUGGUAGAUGCUGGACCAGCUGAGUGCCAACAGCCGACCCUCUUCCAGUAGAUCGACGCCGUCUUGUCGCGCUUCUUCUGCCUCCUCUUCGGUGUACAUGGUGACUCGAGGAGAGUCGAAUUCUAUGUCCGUCGGGAUGACGGCUUCGGCACCGUAGACGAGGAAGAAAGGCGUGAAGCCGGUUGACUUGUUCGGAGUUGUGCACAGGCUCCAGAGGACGGCUGACAGCUCGUCGAGCCAGCAGCCGGCCGAAUGCUCCAGAGGCUCGACCAGUCGGGGCUUAAUGCCGGACAAAAUGAGGCCGUUUGCUCGCUCCACCUGGCCGUUUGACUGCGGAUGGGCAACGGACGCUAAGUCCAGUCGGAUGCCCUACGUCGCGCAGAAACGGGCCAAGGCGCCUUUGACAAAGUUCGUGCCAUUGUCGGUGAUGAUGCUGUGCGGUAUGCCAUACCGGAUGGUGAUGUCGGAGAUGAAAGUCACAGCCGUCGGACCAUUCAAUUUCUUGAUUGGUUUUGCUUCUAUCCACUUGGUGAACUUGUCCACUGCGACAAGCAGAUGAGUCAUGCCACCUCGUGCUGUUUUGAAUGGUCCCACCAUGUCCAGGCCCCAGACAGCAAAGGUCCAGGCAAUGGGGAUAGUCUUGAGUGCAGAACCCGGCUGAUGUGGCUUGGAGCGGAACUUCUGGCACCCUUUGCAUUUCUGGACCAAAUCUUUGGCGUCUUCUAAAGCAGUCGGCCAGAAAAAACCGUGGUGAAAAGCUUUGGCCACGAGUGCUCUUGAAGCCGCGUGAUGACCACACCCGCCUUGAUGAAUAUCUUUGAGGAUUGCUUGGCCUUGCUCCAGCUCUACACAGCGCUGGUAGACACCAGUGACACUGUGCCUCACGAGCUCUCUGUUGACUAUGGUGUAUGCUGCUGCCCGGCGUUGCACUUGCCAGGCCGAGAUCUCAUCCAUCGGUAGCUCUUUGUUUACCAAGAAGUUGAGGAUGGGCUGGGCCCAUGAAGGUGCUGCAAUUUCUUCGACUGCUAGGACUGCAACUUGCACGAGGGCGGUUGGGCCGGGAGGCGGCGGGUUGGAAUCAGCUGCAGCUUGCUGAGUCGAUGAAGUCCCCGGGCCGACUGCUGCAGUCCCCGGGCCGGGCUCUGAAGUCCCUGGGCUGACCACUGCAGUCCCCGGGCCGGGUUCGACUGCCGCGGCCCCCGGGCUGCCUGCCGGAAUUCCCGUGCUGGCUGCUGCGGCUCUCAAGUCGGAUCCAACUGCUUCAGGAGGAGCCGGCACGAAGAUGGAAUCCGACUUUGGCGAUGGCUUGACAGACGGCUUGAGGAGGCAUUGCAGGGCGACGCCGGUUGGUAUUGCUUGCCGGGUGGAGCCGAUUCGUGCCAAGGCAUCUGCUUGCUCAUUGUCACUUCUUGGCACAUGGAGGAACUCGCACCCUUCAAAGUAUCCGCUGAGUUGCUGGACGAGGAAGCGGUAGCUAGCCAUGUUUGCAUCUUUGGCAUCCCAGUCGCCCGACGACUGCUGGACCACCAAGUCAGAGUCACCAUAGCACAGGAUCCGGCGAAUGCUGAGUUCUUUGGCAAGCCGGAGCCCGUUAAUGAGUGCUUCAUAUUCAGCGACGUUGUUGGAGGCGGCAAAAUGGAUUUGCAGCACAUAUCUGAGCUUGUCGCCUUUGGGAGAGGUGAGGAUGAUGCCGGCUCCUAAACCGGUACGCAUCUUGGAACCAUCAAAGUGCAUCCGCCAAUGGGUGGAGUCCGGCACUGGUGGCAGGUACUGGGUCUCGGCCCAGUCGACGAGGAAGUCGGCCAGUGCUUGUGACUUGAUGGCGGUGCGGGGUUGGUAGUAGAUGGUGUAGGGGGCCAACUCUAUGGCCCAUUUAGCCACUCGGCCUGAGGCAUCCCGGCUUCCAAUGAUCUCGGCAAGCGGAGCAGUGCAGACAACAGUGACUGGGUGCUCUUGAAAAUACGGCUUCAAUUUCUUGGCGGCAAAGUGCACACCGUAGCACAUCUUCUGAUAGUGGGGGUAGUUUUGCUUCGAGGCUAACAGCACUUCACUCAAGUAAUACACCGGUCUCUGGACCGGUAGUGCCUUGCCUUCCUCCUUGCGCUCUACCAUUAUGACUGUACUGACCACCCGGCUGGUGGCGGCGAUGUAGAGGAGCAUGGGCUCCUUAGGAGUCGGAGCCGCCAGGACAGGUGGAGUAGUCAGCAUCUUCUUGAGCUGGAGAAAAGCUUCAUCUGCCUUGUCGUUCCACUCAAAAAAGUGGUCUUCUUCAUGAGCUGGUACAGGGGAAGAGCCUUCUCUCCCAGCCGACUGAUGAAACGGCUGAUGGACGCCAAGCAGUCGGUGAACUUUUGUACGUCGAGCAAUCGGGUGGGCACUUCCAUCCUCUCGAUGGCCUUGAUCUUCACAGGGUUGCACUCUAUGCCGCGCUCUGAGACCAGGAAGCCAAGGAGCUGGCUGGCCGGUACUCCGAAGACGCAUUUCUCCGGGUUGAGCUUGAUUUGAAAUCGGUGCAAGUUCUCAAAGGCCUCCUUGAGGUCUUCUAGCAGCGUUCCACGCUUCUCCGUCUUCACCACAACAUCGUCCACAUAAACGUGGGCGUUCCUGACGAGUUGCUUGAGGAGGCACUUCUGCAUGCAACGUUGAAACAUGGCGCCGGCAUUCCUCAAGCCGAACGUCAUGGUCAAGUAGCAGAAGGCUCCAAAUGGUGUGAUGAAGGCGGUCUUCAGCCUGUCGGCCGGGUUCAGCUUGAUCUGGUGAUACCCUGAGUAUGCGUCCAAAAAACUCAACAGCUCGCAUCCGGCUGUGGAGUCUAUCACUUGGUCAAUUCUCGGCAAAGCAAGGUCUUUGGGGCAGGCUUUGUUGAGGCUGGUGUAGUCAAUACACAUGCGCCACUGCUUGUUUUUCUUCAGCACAAGGACUGGGUUGGCCAGCCACUCUGGAAAAAACACUUCCAUGAUGAAGCCGGCUGCCAGCAGCCGGGCUAUCUCUUCUCCAACGACUCUUAUCUUCUCUUCUGACAGGCGGCGCAAGGGCUGCCUGACUGGCUUGGCAUCGGACCGGACAUGUAACUUGUGCUCGGCGAAAUCCGUCGGAACACCCGACAUGUCUUUAGGUGACCAUGCAAAGAUGUCCCGAUUCUCACGGAGGAAAUCGACGAGCUCGCCUUCCUAUUUGCUAUCAAGGUUUGCACCUAUGACAGCGUACCUCUCCGGGUGCUCCGGGUCCAAGGGUAUCUUCUUUGUCUCUUUGGCCGGCUUGGACGAGCCCUCGGCUUCCGAUUCCUUGGGGUUGGGUGACAUUUCCGGCUGCUUGCCUGCCAUCGCCACAACUCGGUCAAGGAGCCGCUUCUCAGCUGCGAUCGCAAGGGACUCGGCCAGCCGGCUGCUAUCUGCUGCGCAAGCGGGCGACUUCUUGUAAUCCCCUGCUAUGGUCAGAAUUCCCUUGGAACUUGGCAUAUUCAUCUUGAGGUAAGCAUAGUGGGGGACCACCAUGAACAUGGCCAGAGCAGGCCGGCUAGGUAGUGCAUGGUAUGGGCUCUCAAGGUCCACCACUUCAAACCAGACCGGCUCUCGGCGGAAGUGAUCUUUGUCUCCAAAGAGGACGUCUAUCUAGAUCUUGCCGAUUGGUGAGCAGGAAAGGCCAGGUACUAUGCCGUGGAAUACAGUCCGACUGGGCUGAAGCUGCCUUUGUUUGAUUUCUAACUUCUCCAUGGUAUCCUUGUACAGGAUGUUGAUGCUGCUGUCGCCAUCUAUCAGAACUCGGGAAAAACGAGCAGCUCGCCUCUCUGUGGCAAAAGUGGCACCCAGAACCAGGGCGUAGGAGCCGGGAUUGGGCAUUACUUCUGGGUGGUCAGCUCUGCUCCAGCUGAUGGGCUUCUCGGACCAAUGCAUGAACUCGGGGGUCUCGGAUGCCACCGCAUUCACUUCUUGCUGUCGUUGCCGCCUGCUGUGCUUAUCGUCGGCCACGCUGGUGAACACGACAUAAGCUCCGUGCUCUUCAGGAUACUCGUCUUAUAUGGCUCCGACUGGUCGAACCGCCGGCUGCUGGGGGGGAGGAGGAGGCGGCUGCCCAGCAGGCGGAGGAGGCAGAAGGCCGUCACCCUUGGCGGUCCUGGUGUGCCAAUGGCACUUUUCGAGUGGUGUGGUUGGACGGCUUCGCACCACUGUGGAACUUGCAGGGCGCAUCGAGGGUCUGCUCAUAUGAGAAAGCGGGCAGCCAAUUGGGCUUGCCGCCCUUCUGGCGCUUAGAUGGAGGCUGCCCUUCCGGCUGUUGGUCUUCGACUGUCUCCACCUACCGGCUUGUAGAAGCCGGCUGCGCGGCCUUGCGUUUGUUGUUGUUGGGUUGCUGACGCUGACUGGUGUCACCAGCCGGGGCCCGAGGAGCUGGAGGAGCCACUUUGCCAGAUGCAUCAACUUGGAUCUCUGCCUUCAUGGAGGAGUCAGUCGUGGCGUAUUUAUCUGCUAUGACCAGCAGCUCGUCGAGGGUCGCCGGCUUGUCGCAGAGAAGCCUAUGCUUGAGAAGGGUGCAAUCUCGGCACCCGGCGAUGAAGUACUCGAUGGCCUGCACCUCGUGCACACCUUCGCAAGAGUUGCGGAGCUCGGCCCAGUGCGUGAGGUAGUCACGAGUCGACUCGUUGGGGCCUUGGACACACAAGGAGAGCUACCGAGGCUUGGGUGGCCGCUUGUAUGUGCUGGUGAAGUUGCGGAUGAAGGCUUCGGUGAAAUCGACCCAGCUGUUGAUGCUGCGGGGUUUCAGGCUGUUCAGCCAUGUCCGGGCCGUGCCCUGGAGCAUGAGCGGAACAUACUUCACGACAACGCGCUUGUUGCCGUUCGCGAUGCUGACGGCUGUGGAGCAGCCAGUCGUCCGGCUUCACGGAGCCGGUGUAUUUGGGCGUGUCUCUCGGGAGCAUGAACCCUUUGGGGAAGGGCUCAUCUUGAAUGCGGGGGCCAAAGCAAGGCGGACCCAGCUCAUCUUCUUCUUCUAGCACCAGGGAUCGGUUGAGACGGUCGAUCCGGUGGCGGGCAUCGUUCUCUCCGACUCCUUCUCGGCGGCCAAGGCGGUCGCCGAGUGUCGGGUGUUCAACAGGCGGCGGGGAGACGCGCCUUUCCCGGCGAGGGGGAGGAGGCGGACAGUCAUCCCGUCGUCCUACUGCUCUUGGGCGGCCGUCUUGGUCGCGCUCGAUGGUGAGGCGAGUCCGGCUGCGGCUGGCAGCCGGCUCCUUGUCUCUUCUUCCGCGGACGCCACCAGUCGGCGUCCGGGAUGUCGCGCCUUGAUCUCGGUGGGGAGGCGGAUCGUCAUUCUGCCGGUUGGGAGCCUCAGUACGGCAGCCGGCCUCGUGCUGCUUAGCAGCUGCGUCGAGGAGUCGCUAGACGCGCUCCGCCAUCUGGCGACGCUCUUCGCCCUCAAACUUGUCCAGCUCUUCUGCGGGCGUGGCGUAGACGGGGCGAUUUGCCCCGAAUAGGCUGGCAAUGGCCGCGCCGCGUUGCUGGACCAUGCUGAUGCGGCUAGGCCCACCAGGAGCCGGCGUGCCACCCACAGCACGGUCCAUCUCGCGCUGGUAGGCCUCCGACAGGCGUCUCAUGUUGGCCAGAUUCUUGGCUCUCUCGACUAGCUGGGCGCAGCGUGCUUCCAGCAUCUCGGCAUCGGCGUCUUCUGGAAUGGGCGCCGUCAGGUCUUGCAGUGCCGCAUCGAGCGGGUCAUGAGCACCUCCGCCGGAGUGCUCGCUGUGGCUGAUGACAAGCACCUCCGUGAUGACGCUUCCGCCGCUCUCCGCGCGAGGAAGUGGCUCAUCGUAGACCACCACGUUGGUGGGGAACGCGUCAAGCGACGCAGUGUCGGAGUCGACAAGCAUCGGGUCGGUGGAUCCUACAGACUCCAAGUCCACAGCAGGCUCGCUGGUGACGCGGAGCUGAUCGAGGAGGCUCGCAAGGCGGCUCACAGGGCCUUCGGUGCCCGCGUCAGACGCGGGCUUGUCGGAGAGGCGAACCUCGCCAACAAGAUCGGCGAGGCAGCUCGCCGCGCAAGCGACCUUCGCGCCAUGCAACGCGUCAACGCAGACUCCGUCUGGCAUGCCAGGCUGGCUGCACUCGCCAGGGAGGAAAAUGGUUCCCGUCCAGAGCAGGUCUCCGGACGACGGUGCACCCCACCCCACGGUGGGCGCCAAAUGUCGGGGGUUGGGUGCGACAUAUGCCAAGGGAUGGCUUAUCAUGGUGGGAGCGAGUAGAACGUCGCCGGUGCCUGGAAGCGGGAUGAGGCGUAGACACGAACGCCGGCGCACUUUACCCAGGUUCGGGGCUCUCCUAGGAGAUAACACCCCUAGUCCUGCUCUGCGGGGUCUCCGCAUGAUCACUAAGGCACUAGUGAGUACAAUGGUGCUCCUCGAGCUGUUUGCUAGAGGUGGAAGAAAGCAAGGCUUGCCCUCUCCUCUCUCUAUGGGUCGGUCUAGUUCUAAUAGGUUCGGAACCCUUUGCAUGGGUGCCCUGGGGGGUUUAUAUAGGCCUACCCCCAGGGGUACAAUAGUAAUCUGGCCGGGUCUAGGACCCGGCUGUCAGUCUCUCUGGUGGCCGGCUUCUCCGCCGGCUGCUGGGGCCCGCUGCCUAGUGGGCCCUGCCGACUGGUCUGGUACGGAGCCGACAAGCCGCCCCCGCCGCUCACGGGUCUUGUCGGGUGCUGAUCACUGUAGCCGUGAUGCUAAUGACGCAGGCUCGGUCACGGGAGUGUGGCUACAUCCCCGCCGCCUGGCGGCGAUUACUGUAGCCACUCUGUGUCUUGUCUGGUUAAUGGCGCGCGGGUCCCGAGGAAGGGGUGUGCCGACUGCUGGGGGCCGACCUCCCUCGGAUCCGACUGGUGGGGCUCUAGCCGUCUUCCGGGCUCUCGCUGAUCGGUGGGCCCAUCAUCCUUGGGCCGUACCGACAGCCCGUCGUGGGAGCAGGGCUCCGCCUGCUUGUGGUGACCUCAGGGGUGGAGUGGCAACAGUACCGCGCCGGGCGGAGAUCUCCGCCGGUACGGUGCAAUGUGGCCACGCCCAUCCCUGGAUUCGGGAGGGAUGGGCUAUACUGUAGCCACUCCCUGUCUUGUCUUUCUUGAUGAGGGCGCAGGCUUCGUGGGCGCCUCGGGCCGGCUGCUAGGGGCUGGCUUCUCUGGAAGCCACCUACUAGGAGUCGGCUUGUCUUGAUGCCGGCUUCUGGAACUCGGCCGUCUACGGGCAGCCGGCUAUCCCUCCAGCCGGCCACCAGAAGGCGGCACUUCGUCUUGGUGCUUUGAGGGGCGCAGCCAGCCCCGAUGUCUUGAAAGGUUCUGGGUCUCGGGUUAGCCUACCCGUGGCCCAUUACUCCGACAUCGCUCAAAAUAUAUUUCUCAAGCUGUUUUGAUGAGGUGAGGGAGGGAUGUGGUUGCUUUCAAGAUAAUAAGGGGUUUUCUGCAAAUUGGAGCAGAGAAGUGGGCUAUUGUUGCAAAAAUGCCCCAACUUACCUCACAGCCGUUAGAUGCAGAUCUAAUGGUUAGAAACGACGGAUGGCAGACACACCACCAUCACCAACUGCGUCUUUUAUAGGAGUAGGAGUAGAGAAAAAUGUAUAAAUUGUAACAUUUGGUUCUGCUCCUUGGCACGAUCGAUAGAUAGAAAUAACGAUUGGAAACGUUAGGGCGGGGCUAUUUCCACCAGAUAAGCAGGGUACAUAGUAGCUAGGUUGGCACAUCGUCGGUUUGGUCACAUGCGGUCCGACAUGUUCUAGUGUUUCUAGCAAGAUGCCCGUGCGUUGCACGAAGUUGAUGGAAAAGGUAAGCACAACUUAUAAAUUGACAGAUGGAGUACUAGUUACAGUGAUGCAUAAAAUUAAGCAAAGGGAUCGCACAUGUCGGUAUUGACAGGAACGAGAAUGCAAUAGCACAAUAAGAAUUAAGGCCACGAUGAUGCGAUCGUAGUGGUGAUUACAGGAGGCAAGAAGAAAGAUGCAUACAUCAAUGUACGACCUCCUCCUCCUCAACUUAGUGCGUCGGGCCACCGACCGGCGGCUUUUGUGGCGAGGUCAAGGUUCUUCUCAGCAAAGCCAUCCAAGGCUUCCAGCCGGUUGAGGAAGGCCAACAUCGUAUCAUCCUCAAUGGCCUUGUAGAUACCUAUGUACACGAUUUGCUCGUACAUGUGGAUGUGUAGGUCGCCGAAUUCUUGCAGGGCGAGGUGCCUUGCAGCGAGCGCGACUGAGGGAGUCCUGGACUAAGGGGUCCUCGGGCGUCCGGCCUGCUAUCCAUGGGCCGGACUGAUGGGUUGUGAAGACAUGAAGGCCGAAGACUGCACCUUGUCCGGAUUGGACUCUGCUUGGCGUGGAGGGCAAGCUUGGCGACCGACUAUGAAGAUUCCUUCUUAUGUAACCGACCCCAUGUAACCCUAGAUCUCUCCGGUGUCUAUAUAAACCGGAGAGCAUAGUCCGGAUAGCACACAUUCAUUACCAUAUACACAUAGGCUAGACUUCUAGGGUUUAGCCAUUACGAUCUCGUGGUAGAUCAACUCUUGUAACACUCAUAUUCAUCAAGAUCAAUCAAGCAGGAAGUAGGGUAUUACCUCCAGAGAGAGGGUCCGAACCUGGGUAAACAUCGCGUCCCCCAUCUCCUGUUACCAUCGAUCCUGGACGCACAGUUCGGGACCCCCUACCCGAGAUCUACCGGUUUUGACACCGACAUUGGUGCUUUCAUUGAGAGGUCCACUGUGCCGUCAGCAAAGGACUCGAUGGCCCCUUCGAUCGUCAGUAAUGGUGCCGUUCAGGGAGAAACCUUCCUCCCCGGACAAACCUUUGUGUUCGGCGACUUCGUGCUGCGGGCCAACUCGCUUGGCCAUCUGGAGCAGGUCGAUCGUCACGCCCCUGGCCGUCAGGUCAGAUCUAGAAGCUUGAACUGCGUCGCGGAUACUUGCGGAGACUUGAUCUUUGAUGGAUUCAAGACUGCGGCAGUCGCUCCCCCUCCCUCCGAUGAACAUGACUUAAAUAUGUCAUCGGAUCACACUCAGGAGAUGGACCUUGUUGCUGCAACGGCCUCAGAACCGAAGCAGACUGUGCCCUUCGAGGCCGUAAGGUCCACGGCGUUUGAGCCGCACACGGACUUGACAUCCUGCAAUACUUGCGUCAAUGGAACUCCGGACUCGUUUUCGGCUACACGUUCCAGAUCAGGCGCGCCUACAGACACCGAGCUGGAUCGGUUAUCGAUUUUCGAAUUUGGCGCCGCAGACUUCUUCCAGCACUCACCUUUUGGUGACAUGCUAAAUUCUUUAAAGAACUUAUCCUUGGAGGAGGACUCACAGCCGAACUAUGUUCGGUUCGAAUUAGAGAUGGAUGACGAGGAAUUUUGCUUCCAACACGCCACCCACUUCAUAGCCACCAUCGAUGACUUAACCGACGUGCUUGACUAUGGCUCCGAAGACAUCGACGGUAUGGACGACGAUGCCGAUAUGGAGCAAGGCCAAGACCCGCCAUUCACCGGACGUUGGACGGCUACUUCUUCGUACGACGUGUACAUGGUUGAUACACCAAAAGGAUCUGGCGACGACAACGAAGAGCCAGAUGUGAAUAAAACCUCUGAGACGCAGUCCAAGCGCCGAUGCCCCAUGCGCCGUUCCAAGCCUCGCCGCUCAAAAGAUAGCAAUACCGGCACCGGAGAAAAUAGUACUUCGGGCGACGCCGAAAACAACGAAGACCCUAUCGGAGCUACAUCCAAACAGGAGGAACACGACAGUAGGCAAGAUAACCCUGACGAACAGGCCAUAGAAGAUGACUCAGAGGACGAUAGUUACCGUCCGCCCUUCGAGGAGGAGACAAGCCUCGGCAAUGAAGACUUCAUUGUGCCUGAGGAUCCUCUGGAGCAGGAGCGCUUUAAGCUUCAGCUCAUAGCGACUGCGAGGAGCUUGAAAAAGAAACAGCAGCAGCUUCAAGCUGAACAAGAUCUGCUCGUCGACAGGUGGACUGAUGUCCUGACAGCCAAAGAAUACGGCCUCAGGCGCCCAACAAAGAGCUACCCAAAACGCAGAUUGCUACCUCAAUUCGAUGAGGAAGCACCAGAGCACACAUCUCCCUUGCGUAAUGCGGAACGACCACCAUGUAAGGCCCAGAAUGCGGCUAUAUCUCCCACGUGUCGAGGCACGACUUAGAGGCAUAACCGCAUUGUGGUUUUGUCGCAAGAAGGGUCAUCUUCACACAAUCCCAUGUAAUGAACAAGAAUGGGAUAAAGAGUUGGCUUACCAUCGCCACUUCACGCAAUACAUAAAUAUAAAUCAUACAUCAUCCAAAAUACACACAUAGACCGACUACGGUCAAGAUCCAAAUGAAAAUAAGAUAACCCCAAAUGCUAGAUCCCCGAUCGUCCCAACUGGGCUCCACUACUGAUCAUCAGGAAAAGACACAUAGUAACGACCACGUUCCUCAUCGAACUCCCACUUGAGGUCGAUCCCAUCAUCUGCACUGGCAUCGUCGGCACCUGCAACUGUUUUGGUAGAAUCUGUGAGUCACGAGGACUCAGCAAUCUCACACCCGCGAGAUCAAGACUAUUUGAGCUUAUAGGAAAGGAUGUUGAAAUGAGGUGGAGCUGCAGCAGGCACUAAGCAUAUAUGGUGGCUAACAUACGCAAGUGAGAGCGAGAAGAGAAGCAACGGAACGGUCGUCAUCUAGCAAUGACCAAGAAGUGAUCCUGAACUCCUACUUACGUCAUUCAUAACUCAAACCGUGUUCACUUCCCGGACAAGUUCUCUACAACCGGACAUUAACAAAUUCCCAUCUGCCUCAUAACCGCGGGCACGGCUUUCGAAAGAUAAUACCCUGCAGGGGUGUCCCAACUUAGCCCAUCAUAAGCUCUCACGGUCAACGAAGGAUAAACCUUCUCCCGGAAAGACCCGAUUAGUCGCGGAAUCCCGGUUUACAAGACAUUUCGACAAUGGUAAAACAAGACCAGCAAAGCCGCCCGAAUGUGCCGACAAAUCCCGAUAGGAGCUGCACAUAUCUCGUUCUCAGGGCACACCGGAUUGUCCAAGCUUCCGAUAGGCGAGCCCAGAGUUGCCCCUGGUGGCUACCGGCGACUGACAAGUUGGACCAAUACUCAGAGGAGCACUGGCCCGGGGGUUUAAAUAAAGAUGACCCUCGGGCUCGCGAAAACCCGGGGAAAAAGGCUUAGGUGGCAAAUGGUAAAACCAAAGUUGGGCCUUGCUAGAGGAGUUUUAUUCAAGGCGAACUGUCAAGGGGGUCCCAUAAAUCACCCAACCGCGUAAGGAACGCAAACUCAAGGAACAUAAUACCGGUAUGACAGAAACUAGGGCGGCAAGAGUGGAACAAAACACUAGGCAUAAGGCCAAGCCUUCCACCCUUUACCAAAUAUAUAGAUGCAUUAAUUAAAUAAGAGAUAUUGUGAUAUCCCAACAUAUCCAUGUUCCGAUAUGGAACAAACUUCAACUUCACCUGCAGCUAGCAACGCUAUAAGAAGGGCUGAGCAAAAGCGGUAACUUAGCCAAACAACGGUUUGCUAGGAAAGGAUGGUUAGAGGCUGACAUGGCAAUAUGGGAGGCAUGAUAUAGCAAGUGGUAGGUAGCGCAGCAUGGCAAUAGAGCGAACAACUAGCAAAGCAAAGAUAGAAGUGAUUUCGAGGGGUGGUCAUCUUGCCUGCAAGGUUCUCAGAGUUAUCGAAAGCUUGAUCCUCGUAAGCGUACUCAACAGGUUCCUCAUUCAUGAACUCGUCUCCUAGCUCUACCCAAGACAAGAACACAAGCAAUGGAACCACAAUCAAUCACGGGAAAUGCACAAGCAACAUGAUGCAAAACAUGAAUGAUAUGCAAGAUAUGGUAUGCGAUGCAUAUGCGUGCUCCGGAAGAAAAAUGAUGAACAAGGCAGUAACUUGGAAAACCAGGCAUGCCACUAGAAAGAUGUGAUGAUUUCGGUUGAAAUCGAUAUAAAGAUCACCGGAAACGGAUGCACGGUUUGCAAAUGGCAAGCAAAACAAGAAUGACGCGAAUCUGCGAUUAACAGCAUGAUAGCACUUAAAAGGCAACAAGUAACAAUGCUACAUCACAUCAACAUAGCAACAAAGCAUAUGGCAGUAAUCUACAGGAAAUGCUUGACAAAAGAUGAACACUGAGCUACGGCUAGAUCACAACAUAACAAGCUCAAACAAGCAUGGCAAAAGUGCAAAAGAUAACAGGUUCACAGACUUGGUGAAAUUACUGGACAUGGCAGAAAACAGCAUCAGGUAGCAAUGUUCAGAGCAUGAAAUCAACAUGCUACAGGAAGUUAACAUAGCAAAACAAGGCAUAGCAGUGUUCUACUAAAUACAUAUGACAAAAGUCCCUUACUGACCAUAAGCCAUAAAGGACUCGAAGAUAUGAUGGCAACCAUGUAAACAUAGCAAGUUUCGUUAUCAGGUUUCAGACUUGGUGAGCUUGAUGCACUCACCACAAAGCAAUGCAUGACACAACAAGCAUACCUACAGCAAUAUGGCAUGUUGAUGAAGCUAUCCAUGGCAAAAGCAAGUUCAUAGCAUGUAUGAAACAACUACAAUAAGCUUGGCAAAAUUGAAUAUCAUGUUAACAAUCUGCCAGAAAUAUUUUAUAGCAAAAGUAGAGCAAGCUUGAGUCAUACUAUGGCACUCCAAAAUUGCAAACAAGGGCAGGAAUGGAUCAAUUACAACAAUAUCUACAAAACAUCCUUACUGAACAUCUCCAAAAUAUGCAUGGAUCUCUCUGUAGCAUCAAGUUUACAUGGCAACAAAAUAACAGCAGACAAGGACUUAGAGAAAUCACUAAGUCCCUGAAAUCAGAAACAUUAUGGAGCCUAGUUUGCAUGCUUGUGCUAGUCACCACAGAGAUCAAAAAAAUACAUGGCAUACACCACUGGAAAGAUGGCAUGGCAUACAAGAAAACACAUGUAGAGCUCAUGCCCAUAAGGUGCACAGAUUAAAUGAUACAAAAAUAACAAUUCUCCAAGUUCUGAUAAGUAACAGCAGAUAACAGCAACUAGCACUCUUGCACCAGAUAUUUGGGCAUCAAGAUGGCCUCUAAUGAACAUGGUGCAAUUGAACAAAAUGUACAGCAUCACGAGGCGAACAAUUUGACAUAUUACACGCACAAAACGGAGCUAUAUGCAGAGAGUUAUGAUGCUAUGAACAUGGGCACAUGCUGAAAAAAUAAAAGACAGGAAAAAUUCGGGGUCUCGGGAAAGUCAACGCACGGUGCUCACCAGAUCCGAUCGGGGCCGGCUCGGCUCGGGCUCGUCGCCGGCGACGGGAGAGGAAGGGGCGACGGCGGCCGGCGUUGGGGGAAAGUGGAGGAGGCCGGAGAGGACGCGGGAUGGCGGCGGCGGCGGAGGGGGGCGCCGCGGCGUCGGGCGGACGGCGGCCUCGGGCGGCGANNNNNNNNNNNNNNNNNNNNNNNNNNNNNNNNNNNNNNNNNNNNNNNNNNNNNNNNNNNNNNNNNNNNNNNNNNNNNNNNNNNNNNNNNNNNNNNNNNNNNNNNNNNNNNNNNNNNNNNNNNNNNNNNNNNNNNNNNNNNNNNNNNNNNNNNNNNNNNNNNNNNNNNNNNNNNNNNNNNNNNNNNNNNNNNNNNNNNNNNNNNNNNNNNNNNNNNNNNNNNNNNNNNNNNNNNNNNNNNNNNNNNNNNNNNNNNNNNNNNNNNNNNNNNNNNNNNNNNNNNNNNNNNNNNNNNNNNNNNNNNNNNNNNNNNNNNNNNNNNNNNNNNNNNNNNNNNNNNNNNNNNNNNNNNNNNNNNNNNNNNNNNNNNNNNNNNNNNNNNNNNNNNNNNNNNNNNNNNNNNNNNNNNNNNNNNNNNNNNNCCUGGCGGGCCGCGGCGGUGGCGCGGGGACGGCUUGCCACGUGUCAGCGCGCGAGUGGGCGAGGGCGGCGGCGGUACGGACACGUCCGCCCGCGGAGAGGGAAGGGGACUAGGGUUGGACUGCGAAUGUUAUUCGGGAGGGAUGCAUUUAUAUAGCUAGAGGGAGCUAGGAGAGUCCAAAUGAGGUGCGGUUUUCGCCCACAUGAUUGUGAUCGAACGACCUACAGCAUGGAAGAGAGUUUGGUGGGUUUUGGGCUGUUUAGAGAGGGGGUUUUGCUGCAACACACAGAAGGCAUCUGCGGUUACCCGGUUAACCGUUGGAGUACCAAACGACCUCCAAAUGGAACGAAACUUGACCGGUGGUCUCCCGGUACUAUACCAAGGCCACUUGACAAGCCUCGGUCCAUUCCGAGGACGUUUGACACCCGCACAUGAAAGAAAACAAGAGGGGUGCGCCGGAGGAGGUGGGAGCGCCGGAUUGCAAAACGGACAACGGGGAAAAUGCUCGGAUGCAUGAGACGAACACGUAUGCAAAUGCAAUGCACAUGAUGACAUGAUAUGAAAUGCAUGACAUGGACAAAAUGCAAAACGAAAGACAAAACCUGACCACGAAGGGAAUAUCAUAACACAUAGCCGAAAAUGGCAAGAGUUGGAGUUACAAAUAUGGAAAGUUACAUCCGGGGUGUUACACACCACGUGGUCAAGACAGGGCGGCCGACCGGCCACCCCGUGGCCGGGAUAAAGCGGCAACUCAGGCCAAAAAGCAGCCUCCCCACAGCCUCGUAAAAAUAGAGACGGAAGAGUUCGGGGUCACACGUACGACCUCCGGCAGAUCCUGGACGAUAGAGCAGGACAUACAAGAUCGAUCUACGGAUCGCGAGGGCGUGCCUCGAGGCACGACGACGGCUACCUAUUAGGACGUGAUAAAUCUAACCACGCCCGGGCCGAAUACCGCAGCGGCUAUCACGCACUGCUCGGAUGAACCGCAUUUGCUAAAUUCAACGCAGUACCACACUAUGCUUAUCUCAAGCUUAAGAUGCCCGGUCCACGCGGCGUCAUAACAGUCAAUGGCAAUACGGAACGCUCCCUCCGAACAGAGGAGCACACCGCCGCCCUAGCAGCAGAAGUACAGAGCGGCCUUCUCAAGCAGCACCAUAGUACGGCUGCCGAGCCCUCGGACAUCAUUAAGAGGUCCCGGACUACACUGGAACAGGACGGCGCGGCUCGUCAAGAGCUCAACUAGCAAUCCAGCCUCCAUCCCAGUCCCAAUGAGGUAGUGGCAUUCGUACCACGCGUACACAGUUACGCACUCAAAAUUCCAUGGACAUCGAUGGAGGCACAAGAUAACCCAGGGUCUACAGCUUGGCCAGACAGAUCCCGGACACACAUACUUUUACCUUUCUCUUGUUUCAGGUUCCUUUUUCCACGGGCCUGAUCGCAAGUCCUUUAGAAGGAUUGGCAUACAACGGAGGCAAGCAGCACAGGUGUGUAGGGUAACCUUUAUACGUUCUUCUUGACGGUAUUCAUAAUUAUUUCACAGGACCCGCACGCUGCGCCCUACUGAUUCCGGCAUGUUAAAUAGCCCCGAUACUUCUUGCACCAUCUGUACAAGAUACGCCUUGACGUAUCCAUCCAGUUAUAAUAAAAAUGGUUCGUGGCCUAGUUUCUGUGGUUUUCGCUUCUUACUUCGUUUUAUUUCGAUCUACUUAUUUGUUGCAUCGGUACUCUUCUGUACGUUUCAUAUUCGCCAUGGGCUACUUAUCGCCCCGCAAUAUGGCAGCAAAGUCCGAACACUUCUUAUACAUAAGUUCGGCACCCCGAAUUUAGCAUUAUAUGCAUUGGCUCCGAAUCAUGUCUUUGGUCAAUAGUUGGGUUGCCUGGCUCCUGUGCUUGCUACCCUACGUUCCGCUCUAUCGGCUAGGGUAGUAAAGGGAGAACUACUGCGAUUGUGCCCUGGCCUCGAACGGAUGAGCACCUCAGUAGAGAAAGCCGAAAACUGACUGUCAUGAUACGGCGAGAGUCGGUCAGCUGUUCGAGGGUUACAAAAUCGUUGGAGAUUUUUUCUGCGUCAUGAUCGGCACUUCCCGAUGAGAUGCUGACAACACCCUGGCUUGGACCAAGGGCUGCGCAAUUGCUUAAUUAUAAAACUUCUAUGACUAAGUGAGGGCGUUUAAGCCAUACAGUCCGAUUGCCUUGUUCGUUGCACUAAACAACUCCUCCAAAGGACCAUAUAAUUGGAUCAAGAUUGUUUAGAAUCCAUCCCGAACACUGUCGGUGUCAAAACCGGCGGAUCUCGGGUAGGGGGUCCCGAACUGUGCGUCUAAGGCUAAUGGUAACAGGAGGCGAGGGACACAAUGUUUACCCAGGUUCGGUCCCUCUCGAUGGAGGUAAUACCCUACUUCCUGCUUGAUUGAUCUUGAUGAUAUGAGUAUUACAAGAGUUGAUCUACCACGAGAUCGUAGAGGCUAAACCCUAGAAGCCAGCCUAUGAUUAUGAUUGUUGUUGUCCUACGGACUAAACCCUCCGGUUUAUAUAGACACCGGAGGGGUCUAGGGUAACACAUAGUCGGUUACAAGGGAGGAGAUCUACAUAUCCGAAUUGCCAAGCUUGCCUUCCAUGCAAAGGAGAGUCCCACUCGGACACGGGACGAAGUCUUCAAUCUUGUAUCUUCAUAGUCCAACAGUUCGACCAAAGUAUAUAGUCCGGCUGUCCGAGGACCCCCUAAUCCAGGACUCCCUCAGUAGCCCCUGAACCAGGCUUCAAUGACGAUGAGUCCGGCGCGCAGAUUGUCUUCGGCAUUGCAAGGUGGGUUCUUCUCCAAAUCCCGAGUACCUGUCAUAACGAGUAGUGUCCGGCUUCCCAUGAAUGUUGCACUCCUCGGCUUCUGUGCUUUAAUAAUGGCUAUCUCCACGUGUCGAGCAAAUGCGAGAAGUCGGGGCAUUUUACAUUUGCCACCCUAACCAUGUAAGUAAAUCGUCUAUUUAAAGAGACAGGGAUCCUCAGAUCCAGAUCACACCAUCCUCCCACAGCGAGUAUCUGAUGACCCAUAAGUAUAGGGGAUCGAUCGUAGUCCUUUCGAUAAGUAAGUGUGUCGAACCCAACGAGGAGCAGAAGGAAAUGAUAAGCGGUUUUCAGCAAGGUAUUCUCUGCAAGCACUGAAAUUAUAGGUAACAGAUAGUUUUGUGAUAAGGUAAUUUGUAACAAGCAACAACUAACAAAAGUAAAUAAAGUGCAGCAAGGUGUCCCAAUCCAUUUUGUAGCAAAGGACAAGCCUGGACAAACUCUUAUAUAGAGAAAAGCGCUCCCGAGGACACAUGGGAAUUAUCGUCAAGCUAGUUUUCAUCACGUUCAUAUGAUUCGUGUUCGGUACUUUGAUAAUUUGAUAUGUGGGUGGACCGGUGCUUGGGUGCUGUUCUUACUUGAACAAGCAUCCCACUUAUGAUUAACUCCUAUUGCAAGCAUCCGCAACUACAAAAGCAGUAUUAAGGUAAACCUAACCAUAGCAUGAAACAUAUGGAUCCAAAUCAGCCCCUUACGAAGCAACGCAUAAACUCGGGUUUAAGCUUCUGUCACUCUAGCAACCCAUCGUCUACUUAUUACUUCCCAAUGCCUUCCUCUAGGCCCAAAUAAUGGUGAAGUGUCAUGUAGUAGACGUUCACAUAACACCACUAGAGGAGAGACAACAUACAUCUCAUCAAAAUAUCGAACGAAUACCAAAUUCACAUGACUACUAAUAGCAAGACUUCUCCAAUCUCCUCAGGAACAAAUGUAACUACUCACAAAGCAUAUUCAUGUUCAUAAUCAGAGGGGUAUUAAUAUGCAUAUAGGAUCUGAACAUAUGAUCUUCCACCAAAUAAACCAACUAGCAUCAACUACAAGGAGUAAUCAACACUACUAGCAACCUACAAGUACCAAUCCCAGACUUGGAGACAAGAAUUGGAUACAAGAGAUGAACUAGGGUUUGAGAGGAGAUGGUGCUGGUGAAGAUGUUGAUGGAGAUUGACCCCCUCCCGAUGAGAGGAUCGUUGGUGAUGACGAUGUCGAUGAUUUCCCCCUCCCGGAGGGAAUUGUCCCCGGCAGAACAGCUCUGCCGGAGCCCUAGAUUGGUUCCGCCAAGGUUCCGCCUCGUGGCGGCGGAGUCUCGUCCCGAAAGCUUGCUUAUGAUUUUUCUUCGGACGAAAGACUUCAUAUAGCAGAAGAUGGGCAUCAGAGGGCCAACAGGGGGCCCACGAGGCAGGGGGGCGCGCCCAAGGGGGUAGGGCGCGCACCCCACCCUCGUGGCCAGGGUGUGGGCCCCCUCUGGUAUUUCUUCCGCUCAGUAUUUUUUAUUAUUUCCAAAAAUAACUUUCGUGGAGUUUUUGGACUUUUGGAGUUGUGCAGAAUAGGUCUCUAGUAUUUGCUCCUUUUCCAGCCCAGAAUUCCAGCUGCCGGCAUUCUCCCUCCUUAUGUAGACCUUGUAAAAUAAGAGAGAAUAGGCAUAAGUAUUGUGACAUAAUGUGUAAUAACAACCCAUAAUGCAAUAAAUAUCGAUAUAAAAGCAUGAUGCAAAAUGGACGUAUCAACUCCCCCAAGCUUAGCCUCGCUUGUCCUCAAGCGGAAGCCGAUAAUGAUAAAUAUGUCCACAUGUUUAGAGGUAGAGGUGUCGAUAAAAUAAAAUACGGAUAUGAAGGCAUCAUGAUUAAUCUUAUAACAGCAACAUAUAUGGAUAUUGUCAUAUGAUUUCUUAUGUUCAAGUAAUAAUCUAUUCACAAUGCAAAGUAUGAAUCAGAAACUUUAUGGAGAACCAACAAACUAUAAUCUCAGUCAUUGAAGCAAUUGCAAUUUAUCAUAACAUCAGAAAGAGUCUAUGUCAGAGCUUUUUAGCAAGUCCACAUACUCAACUAUCAUUUAAUCUUUCACAAUUGCUAACACUCACGCAAUACUUGUGGUUACGGAGUUUUAAUCGGACACAGAGAAAGAUAGGGGCUUAUAGUUUCGCCUCCCAACCUUUUGCCUCAAGGGUAAUGUCAACAAUAAUAACUCAUGCUAACUUACAUCCAAUUAGAUAUAUAUAUAUAUAUAUAUAUAUAUCAGGAUCUUUCCAACAUACUGGGCUUGCCAAAGGAUAAAAUGUAAAAAGGAAGGGUGAAGAUCACCAUGACUCUUGCAUAAGGUAGAGGAUAAUAAUAAAAGAUAAGCCCUUCGCAGAGGGAAGCAGAGGUUGCCAUGCGCUUUUAGGGUUGAAUGCACAAACUCUUAAUGCGAAAGAACGUCACUUUAUAUUGCCACUUGUGAUAUGGACCUUUAUUAUGCAGUCCAUCGCUUUUAUUUCUUCCACAUCACAAGAUCGUAUAAAGCUUAUUUCCUCCACACCAAUCAAUCAUACAUUUUUGAGAGCAAUUUUUACUGCUUGCACCGAUGACAACUUACUUGAAGGAUCUUACUCAAUCCAUAGGUAGAUAUGGUGGACUCUCAUGGCAAAACUGGGUUUAAGGGUAUUUGGAAGCACAAGUAGUAUCUCUACUUGGUUCAAAUAAUUUGGCUAGCAUGAGGGGGAAAGGCAAGCUUAACAUGUUGGAUGAUCCAUGACAAUAUACUUUAUCUUAGAUAUAAGAAAACAUAGCCCAUUACGUUGUCUUCCUUGUCCAACAUCAACUCUUUAGCAUGUCAUAUUUUAAUGAGUUCUCCCAAUCAUAAAAGAUGUCCAUAAUAGUAUAUUUAUAUGUGAAACCUCUCUUUCUUUAUUACUUCCUAUUAAUUGCAACGAUGACCAAAACUAUGUUUAUCAACUCUCAACAAUUUUUAAUCAUCAUACUCUUUCUAUGUGAAGUCAUUACUUUCCAUAAGAUCAAUAUGAUCUCUUCUUAUUCUUUUUAUUCUUUUUCUUUUCUUUCAUUCACUCAAGAUCAUAGCAAAAUAAUCAAGCCCUCGACUUAACACUAAUCUUUAUUAUAUAGCUCACGGACUUGAUUACAUAGAGGGAUCAUAAAGCAAAACUAAAAAGAUCGAACUAAGAAAAAGGUAAAGAUAGGAGAUGUGGUGGUGAUACGAUACCGGGGCACCUCCCCCAAGCUUGGCAGUUGCCAAGGGGAGUGCCCAUACCCAUAUGAUUAUGUCUCCUUCCUCAGAAGUGGUGGUGAUGGGGUUGUUGAUGAAGUAGGCUUGUCGUCCAUAUUCCAAGGCAUGGGGUCACCAUCAUAGAAGGAUGAUCGAGUCUCCGGGAUCAUCCAAUCUGCAGCCAAACUCAUUCUCUUGAAUCUAUAUUCAUACUCACAGUUUUGGUUUUGCAGGUCAUAGAUUUGGGCUUGGAGGUGUUCGGUUUUCUCGUGAAGCUUGAAGAUGGCCUCCCCAAUGUCCUUGGCGUCUAGCUUGUGGUUGUUGGUGAACUCCGUGAUCAUUAUGUGAUUGGAGUCGAGUCUGCGCUCCACCAUCUCCUGGCACUUGAAAACUUGUUGCUCCAUUGCCUCGAGCCUUGUCUCCACGCUUCCGGUCUUCCUUGGUCCCUCAACAUCGCGGAUGUGCAGCACCCCCUAAUGCUUCUCAAUGGUUUGAGGGUGUUGCUGCACCUCCGUGAGGUAGGGGUUGAUGACCUUCUCGAAGAACUUAUCCUUGGGGGCACUUGGAGACGUCAUGAUGAUCUAGAUCUGUCAGAAAAACUACUCGAAACAAGAAUAGAGGACAAUUGCGUGAUACGGUGGUCAAAACCUUCGGGAGAUUAUAUAAUGAAUUUUUACCGACCAAAAUAUGUAUCGUGCAAGAAAACGGAGUCCGAAGAGCGCACGGGGUUCCCACGAGGCAGGGGGCGCGCCCAGAUGGGUAGGGCGCGCCCUCCACCCUCGUGUCCUUCCCAGACUGCUUCUUAUUUUUCUAUUUUUCUAAAUAUUCCAAAACAAAGAAAAAAUGCCAUUAGAACUGUUUUGGAGUCGGUUUACUUACCGUACCACAUACCAUUCCUUUUCAGAGUCUGAAACGUUUCAGAAAGUAUCCCUUAUCUAUUCCUCCGGGGUCAUGGUUUCAAUAACGUUGGUUUCAACAUUUAUGGGAUUACUUGAGAUAUAAUGUUUGAUUCUUUGACCGUUCACCACCUUCGGAUUUGUGCCUUCGAAGUUGUUGAUUUUUAUGGCACCGGAACGAUAGACCUCCUCGAUGACGUAAGGACCUUCCCAUUUAGAGAGAAGUUUUCCUGCAAAAAAUCUUAAACGAGAGUUGUAUAGCAAUACAUAAUCACCUACAUUAAACUCACGCUUUUGUAUUCUUUUGUCGUGCCAUCUUUUAACUUUUUCUUUAAAUAAUUUAGCAUUCUCAUAGGCUUGGGUUCUCCACUCAUCAAGUGAGCUAAUGUCAAAUAACCUCUUCUCACCGGCAAGUUUGAAAUCAUAGUUGAGCUCUUUAAUGGCUCAAUAUGCCUUAUGUUCUAGUUCGAGAGGUAAGUGACAUGCUUUUCCAUAAACCAUUUUAUACGGAGACAUACCCAUAGGAUUUUUAUAUGCAGUUCUGUAGGCCCAUAAUGCAUCAUCUAGUUUCUUGGACCAAUUCUUUCUAGAUCUGUUAACAGUCUUUUGCAAAAUUAAUUCGAGUUCUCUAUUACUCAGUUCUACUUGACCACUAGACUGCGGGUGAUAAGGGGAUGCAAUUCUAUGAUUAACAUCAUACUUAGCAAGCAUUUUACGGAAAGCACCAUGAAUAAAAUGUGAACCACCAUCAGGCAUUAAAUAUCUGGGGACUCCAAACCUUGGAAAAAUAACUUCUUUAAGCAUUUUAAUAGAAGUGUUAUGAUCAGCACUACUAGUUGGAAUAGCUUCUACCCACUUAGUAACGUAAUCAACAACAACUAAAAUAUGUGUAUAUCCAUUAGAGGCAGGAAACGGUCCCAUAUAAUCAAAGCCCCAAACAUCAAAUGGUUCAAUAACAAGUGAAUAAUUCAUAGGCAUUUCUUGACGUCUACUUAUAUUACCAAUUCUUUGACAUUCAUCACAGGAUAUGACAAACUUACGGGCAUCCUUGAAGAGAGUAGGCCAAUAAAAACCGGAUUGCAAUACCUUAUGUGCAGUUCUAUCUCCAGCGUGGUGUCCUCCAUAAGCUUCGGAGUGACACUUGCGUAGGAUCUGUUCCUGUUCAUGCUCAGGUACACAACGUCUAAUAAAACCAUCUACUCCUUCUUUAUAAAGAUGUGGGUCAUCCCAAAAGUAAUGUCUCAAAUCAUAGAAGAACUUCUUUUGCUGGUAUGUGAAACUUGGUGGUAUAAAUUUGGCAACAAUGUAAUUAGCACAAUCAGAAUACCAUGGAGUAGUACGAGAAGCAUUUAUGACAUUUAAUUGUUCAUCAGGAAAGCUAUCAUCAAUAGUUAGUGGGUCAUCAAGAACAUUUUCCAACCUAGACAAGUUUUCUGCAACGGGGUUCUCACCUCCCUUUCUAUCAAUAAUAUGUAAAUCAAAUUCUUGUAGCAGGAGAACCCAUCUAAUAAGUCUAGGUUUAGCAUCUUUAUUUUCCAUAAGAUAUUUAAUAGCAGCAUGAUCAGUGUGAAUAGUUACUUUCACUACAAAAAAAACACUUCCGUGAUGAUACGUGUUUGUCACAGUAGGUCGCGUUUUUUGUCAUGCAUGUACAUCCAUGACGAUUUUAUGACAGAAUCAAGAUAGUCAUACCUGUGCUGUCGUAGAAGUGUUCCAUGACAUUACCAAAAUUAUCAUCACGGAAGUGCCCACUUCCAUGACGAUAAAUCGCGCAUCACAGAAGUGCUUUCGUCAAGGGUGACCGACACAUGGCAUCCACCGUAACGGAACGCCGUUAAGCUAUCGGGUCGGAUUUUGGAUCCGAUAACCCGUUAACAGCCUGGACCAAUGGGAAAUUUCCAUGUGUAAAAUUCUGAUUGGCCGAAGGGAACACCUGUCAGCUCGUCAGUGGGCCAGAUGUCGCCCGUCCAUUGGAGGAGACAUGCCUAUGAUACGUCGACACGUGGCUGGGCCCAACAGAGGCCCAUAUUGGUUAAAAAGGCCAGCCCAGUCAAAGGCCCGUAGAACUUAAUCAGGUACUAGUGGGCCAGCCCAAUAACGGCUUGCUUAAUAAAGUCCCAUUUACGGCCCGAAGCCAGAUCUGGCCCGUUAAUUGUUCGCCCAAUAUUUGGGCCCAUUUACGGCCCGAAGCCAGAUAUGGCCCGUUAAUUGUUCGCCCAAUAUUUGGGCCCAUUUGCGGCCCGAAGCCAGAUCUAGCCCGUUAAUUGUUCCCCGAAUAUUUGGGCCCAACUACAGCCCAGUGACUUUCGGCCUGUUAGAGGCCUGAUGUAGACAUGGGCCCAUUUCAGCCCGGUGUGACUUUCGGCCUGGGAAUGGCCCGUGCUACCCAUGGGCCAUAUAUGGUUCGAUGGGACAUCGGGCCCACUAACGGCCCAUGCUAAAGGUGGCAACAGUUAAGCCCAACGUGACUUUGGGCCUGUUAAAGGCGUGUCGCGUAAUUCGGCCCGUUGAUGCCUGUGCUAAGCUUUCGGCCUCUUAAAGGCCCAUGAUAUUAGUGGGCCAACUAAGGCCCGAGAUAUGUUUCGGCCUGGUAACGGCCUGUGAGCUAACUGGGCCCAAAACGGCCCGGUCUACAUUUCGGCCUGCUGAAGGCCCGUCGACGACUAGUGAAAAUUGAGACCCAACAUGCAUUUUGGCCUGCUAAAGGCCCGUUGUUUCAUCUCGGCCGUAACAGGCCAGUACAAUAUUCAGCCUGUUAAUGGCCCAACGCUACCUGGGCCAAACUAAGCGCUGGGUCGACAAAAGCCCAACUAAAAUAUAGGCCGGUGUAAGUUUGGGCCUUGCGCAAUGUGUGAAGGCCCCAAUCAUUCGGGCCCAAGAAAGACGCAGGCCGGCCCAAUUGUGGCCCGCUAAAAACCUGGCCCGUCAGAGUCGAAUGUUUCGGUCCGGUCGACUACAUUUGAUUUUUUUUCAGAUAGCGAAUGAUGGCAGUAACUAGUAGGAAUUAAGAACAAACCUACUCUAUACAAUAAAUAAAUUACGGCAUAGUAACUAAGAAUAAACCUACACUAUACAAUAAAGGAUUUAAGGUAUAUUACAUCCACUGGGCAUCAAAGUUCGCCACCAGUGAUCAUAAAGCGCAAUGAAGAAGCAGAUUACAAAAACUGGGCACCAUUGCAGCGUAACAAAAUAAUACUGAACCGAGACCACUUCCAAGACAGUUCAAGAAAGGUUAGCCUUGCGGGGGAACUGCUGCGCAAGCUGCUGAGCAAGGCUGUGAGACCGGCCUAGCAUGUCGGUCAUAGCUUCCAGGUGUAGCUGUUUAGCGAUGAGGUUCUCAUUGGUGUUCUCCGCAAUCUUUCUUAGAGAUAGGACUUCAAGUCGAAGUUGAGUUGCAGAAUGCCUUUCUGCUAGAACUUGGGACUGAAGAAGUCGAACUAAUUCAGAUAACGAAUUCUGUGAGCUUGUCUGACUGUUAGUCUCAAGUAACUUGAUAACUGCAUCAAGACAAGACUUUGGGGUUGUCUUGCCAUCUUCGAAAUGUUUUUCCUUCUUUGCUGCAAUAUAUGUUGGGUUUGUCUCACAGCCUUCAGCAGACUUGUGCAUGCCAUCAGGCAUAUCACCCUGAAACAAAGCAGAGAGAUGACAGGUUUGGCACGUGUAUAAACAAAGAUGAUAACUGUUCUGUCAAUUCUAUCCAAUUUCAAGUUAGAAAAUAAAGAGUAAGUUCAAAAUAUCAAUAACAUAAUUUGGCAUUGUUCAUAAUGCGGGGAGCUUCACCACACUACUUGAUUACCAUGUCAACAUAACAAGCAUAGAUGAAGGGCAAAGAAAAUCAUUGUAUCUAUUUUGGAUAAUGUGCAUGGCAUGUUGUUCAUAUCAUCAGCCACAUCAGUAAGAUAAAACAGGAGAUGACAAGGUGCAAACGUGGGCUGCUUCACCACACACUGGAUUAUAGAUCCAUAAAAACAAGCAUACAUAUAGGGAGUAUUAAGUAAUGUGCAUGGUAUUAAUAAGGAAUUUGGUUUUACAAGUAAAACUUAGAACUUACGGUUCUUACGAACAUGCAUUUUGGUAGAAACAGCAAACUAAACAGCAGUAAACGAUAGGGAGUAUGAGCAAAUUAAACAGCAGUUGAUGAUAAAGGCUCUAGAAGGACUGACUUACAUUAACAGUUAACACCGGGUUUAUAAUGCCCUUCUCCAUGUCAAGGGAAGGAUAACUCAAGAAUUUCAGCACAUAAUCUUCUUCAUAAGCAUUGCCUGUACUCUACAUUUUGUAGAGAGUAAUUAUAGAUAUGAUAAUACUGGAAGGGAUAGAGGAUAAUGAAGAUAAGAUGCAGAUUGAUGCUACAUAAUCAACUACCAAUCCUUGGAAGUACAAGCGUUACAGGACAAAAUGUACUGACAAGAGCAAUGGGCUACACUUCUGCACUGGCAUUGUCUGUGUACUCUACUUGUUGGUAAGAUUAAAUAUAGAUCUGAUCUUUUUUAGUAAAUGGUGGGCGAGGGAGAUAAGAUGCAGAAUGCUACAAAAUGAACCAAUCCCUCUUCCCAUAAUACAAGAGUGUUUUGAACACUGGUGUACUGUACAAAACGUUCUUACAUUAUGGGACGGAGGGAGUAGCUGUUAAUGUAAGUACAGUGGUAGACCACGUUCAGUCCUUACAAGAGGACUGCAGAGCUAAACCUCUUCAAAAGCAUUGGGUUGAUUCUAAAUUUAUGUAAGAGUCCAUACGGAUCUUAUAAUGUCCACCAAAUGGACGAUUACGAGGCUAACAUGUGCAGUGAUGCUACAUAAUCAAACAACUAUGAAAGUAAGUAUGGUCAUACAGGGCAAGAGGUACUCACAAGAGUAAUGCAGUGUGCAGUAUAGUUGCGAGAUUCUGUGGUCCCUUGAGAACGAAUGUUCUUCUGCUAACAGUUUUCGUACAAGUGAGACAUUAAGGCAAAUGCAGAAAUGUAGUUCAAAUUGUGAUGUGAUAUCAUAGACAGUACCUUACGCUGCAGCCGAGACCAAUGUGUAACAAGAUUAUUCCAAUCACCGUCGGAUAAAUGUAGCACUGGAGACUUUACAAAAAUUUCGUUCAGAAGCUUGCCAUCGAAGUGCGCUUGCCUCAGGUAGGAAUGAUACUUCAUCAACGAGUGCUUGAAAAGCGCAACCAACCCUUGCUCGUCAUCACAAUCCAGUUUGCUCCUCGCCUAUUUAAAAUAAUGAAAUCUUGUGUCUUCUGUCAGCAGAAACAUAUGCAGUAAUGACCAUGAAUAACAUUAGUACAUUACUUACGCGUAAGUUGUGGAGGAAGACUGGAAAUUGUUCCGUGUCUGCGGUAUAAUCUUUCCAUGAAGAAAAGAUGCGCACAAAGUUCCUGACAACAACAUAAGCUUCGUCUUCUAAACUGGGAAGAAAUGGAACAGGGGUCCUAUUUGCUGCAAUUGGGCUCUCUCUGGCUUGAAAAGGGAUUUGGCAACUGGAUUUGGUCUACUCUUUGCUGGAAUGGGGUUUUUGCGUCGUACAGCUGGUGCUAUGUCAACUGGCAUAAUCAUACCGUUUGCUUCAGUUGGGGUCUGCUGAGUUGGGGCAUCAGAAAUGACCAGUGUAGUAGGGCUAGAGUCUGCUAGAGUUGGGGUAUUUUGUGGGUCAGGUGAUAUUGCAACUACACCUAAUGGGCUAUUUGAUUUAUCAGGUGCCUCUACCUUUUCCAAAUACUUUGCUUGUGCUCCUCCACAACCAGCAAUCACCCUCUUCCUUUUGAACGUCUGAUACACAAGAACAUCAUUUGAAUGGAUAAAUAUGGUAUGAUGACAGAUGGAAUAUGUACUGAAAAUGGAUAGGCAGGGCGUAUUCACAUACACGAUGUGUAAACUAAGCUAAUGGCAGUUCAACAAAGUAGAAGCAAUGCAAAGCAUCAGUUGCAAGAUAUGUGCGAGCAAUGUAACCUUGGAAAGUUAGAGGAAGUACCUUGAUGGGUGAAUAAGAUAGGGCAUCUUCCUCUGACUCCUCCACUAGGGAGCUACAUUGACUUAGGUCUCCCUCUAGCUCAGAAUCACUAUUAGGAUCAUAUUCUGAGCAUGAAUCUAUAGGUGGAGAGCGUUUGCAUUGCAUUGCAUCCAGACCUGAUUUCAGUCCCUUAAUGCCAAGUUUGACAGCCAUGGCAUUGUUCUGCUUUAUUCUUUUCAUGCGCGCAAGCUCAUAAUCAUUAUGAUGUUGUUCAGAAUCUGAGAUUCAUGAAAACAUAAAAAGUAGUCAGAUUAUCUAUGGAAUGCAUUGCGGAUUCAACUCGGAGAGUGUCUCCCUAUAAACCCCUGCAUAUGCAAAGUUCACCUCCCCAACCGUGCUGACCAGACCACACACAGAAAUACAAACCCCUUAUGUCUCUAUAAUAGGCAGGCACACAUUUCAAAACUGAAGUAGGAACAUUAGAAUCAUAUGAAAUUCGUAUUUGAACAAAUAAACUAAGCAAUUAUGAGUGGCGUAAUGUUUAGCUUCAAGGGUGGAGUGUUGGUAGUGCGACACAAAGCAAGUAGGCAGAUUGUAUUCCAUGUAAAAGAUCGAAACCUAUGUAAAAGCUGGAAAUGACACUUUCUUUCUAUAUAAUGCAGUGUUCGUUACCCACACAUGAUGGAAGAGAUCACAUAGAGAAAUACUAUUCACUCAUGUCUACGGUUCUAGUAUUUAGAAACAGGGUGGUCCACCCUAAAAGAAUAUUGACAACAAAUAUGACAAGGCAAGCAUAGAUGUAGUGAAUCAAUCAUUUACUUGUGAGCUUACUAGGACAAGUAUGCAGAAUUGUAACUGCAGUAAGAGACCGUCCAAAAUCUGAAUGAAGAAGUUUGUCUAGACUUAUUGUUUGCAACUAAUCGACGUGAAUAAUUGGAUAUUAUAUCGAAUGAGUAAGAAAGACAAGUAAAGUUGUCAACAAACCUGGCUUGCAGUAGUAAUCUGGGUCAAUGUCACUACGACCAACAAUCCAAAAUGACUAGUUUCUGUUCCGAGGGCCGGAAUUUUGAAAACCCUGUGAACUUUAGAGGUACUAAAGAUUACCGAAAUACAUCUGAACCAUUAAGUGUAGGUAGCACUGAGCACACAACAAACCCUAAUGACAGUCCUGCCUAAUGAGUAAUGAAUCAAUUAGAAAAUGGGCGAUGAGGAGUGGCUGCUGAGUGUUGAGGACGUAUCUCAGGAUAAAUCGGGUUGGCUUGGUGGGUGCUGCACGCCUGAGCCCUGAACGGACUGGGAAGGUAGGCACGGCGACGCGCCCGGGCAGCGGUGACGCUGUUGGGCGAGCGGCUCCUGGCCUCCUGUUAGUCCGGCAUCUCCUCCUAGAGUCAUGCCGUCCGGGGACGGCAAGUCGCCGGCGAGGCAGGCGGCUGGGGGCGAGUAGAGAUCGGAAGCGCGCAGCAGAACAGAGGGGAAUCGGGGCCUAGGACGACCCAAAAUCCCAGGAUGGGCCGGCCCACCGUGGGCACCCUGUAGAGAUACACACCCGAGCGGCGAACAUGCAUUUUCUAAACUAAUUUAGGAACAUUUAGCUGACCAAUUAAACAACUCUGUUUUAAUAAUAUCAGAUUCGUAUUUGAACAACUAAGCUUGUUUAGCUUGAUGGGUGGAGCAGUGUUAUUAUGACACGAAGCACGUAUUCUGAUCGUAUAGUGAUCAUAAAACGGGGAAACUCUAAGCAUAUUUUUUUAGCAAAAGAGGGUUUCCCCUCCGAUUUCUAUUAAAGAAACCACCACGGAACCAACAUGAUCAAUUAAACCCUAAGCAUGAUCAAUUAAACCGUAUUAUGGCUGUGCCAUGGCAGAUUUGAAGCUGCAAACCGGAGAAAUGAUAUUUAGCAUCCAUUGUUUGCUUCGAACUAAGAACUAAAUUCUAAGAGCUGAAAAUAAAGUAGAGUAACUAAGUUAAGAUCUAUUUUCUGGUUGAGAUCAAAAAGUUGAGGAGAUAUGAAGUACCACCUCUCUUGCGGCGCCGUGUAGGCAUCGGGGGUGCGAUGGCUGUCGGUGGCGUUGAAGCAGAUCUGUGAUGGUAGACGGGUGCAUCGGGGGAUAAGUCCCGUUGCGGUGGAAGAGAAGGUCGUGUGAGCGGCCCCGGCAAAGAGGACGACGACGCCGAUGAAGCGAGAGGACGCGAUGCAAGGCUAUUAAUCCAUCGCCGUGGAUGAGAAACAUCCAUCUCUAGCAGUGGACGACGCGGUCUUGGUAGGCGCUCCGGCAUGGUGGAGGACGGUGGCGAUGGAUGUGGUGGAGGACGGCGGCGAUGGAUGGGGUGGCGGGCGGAGGCUGGUGUGGGGAUGGGGUGUUCUAGCGCGGACGGUGUAUGAAUGGGAAGAUGGAGGGAGAGGUACGGGGAACCAUGUUUUUGGGACGCGCCUGUCUGAAAUAUGGGAAAGUUAUGAACUUAGCCCCCGUUUAAAAUUUGGACGUCUCGUCGGUUGGGGAUAGGACGGUAAUCUCGCAUCUCGCCAAUAUUUGCCAAGAGCGAUUUCGGGCGUGGAGAGGGUGGUUGGCGCCCAUGGUUGGCGCCCACGGUGUAUGAACGGGGCUGAGAGGUAGGGCGGUUGUGUCACGUCUGAGUGAAGUUACAAACCUGCCCCUAUUGAAAAUAUUUGCCUACAUCGAUUUCGGCCGAGUCGAGUUUGUUUUGCCGCCCACCGUGUAUGAAUGGGGAAUGGAGGGAGAAACAGAGGUCUUUCGGACGAGCUUGAAUCAAAUGAGUUUUGCCGCCCAUGUUUGACGCCCACCGUGUCGGAAUGGGCUCAGGGGCGGUCGUGUCACGUCUAAUUGAAGUUACUAACCUACCCCUAUUCAGAGCAGUGGAAAUCGGGCCGAUGGAUUGUCCGUGUAAUGGGUAGACAGUAAUUUCCAUCUCCCAAACACUUGGCUUCGGGCAGCCGACAUGGGAGUGGACAUUUUGCUGCUUCUUUCUAAUUUUUGGACAAUAAGCAUCCACGUUUAACCUGGCAACUGAAUUCGAAUCCAUUUCGUAUUCCUAUAUGAAUCUUUAUAAAUCAUUCUAUGUGUUUUUAUAUAUCUUCAAAAGGACGACAAAGAUGUAUUCCACUGUCAUAUAUGAAUAUGGUUUACAAAUGCCGAUACUCAAAUUCAGAAACUAGAAUCCAGUUUAAGGUGAAUUCGAAUAUUUGGAACACUUCAUGUCCAACUCAAAUGUCACACGCAGCAUAAUGUGUACUCCCAUUUAGAUAUGUACACAAGCGAUGUAUCAAGAUUCAAAUACCGAGUCAAUCAACCAAGAAUGUACAGAACUAACAGACAUAUAAACACUUAUAGAGUAUAUGGAUCAAUAAUAUCAACUAACAUACAUAAGCCAGGCCGCUGUACUUUUUUUGGCUACAAUAGCAUCCUUUUUUUAGCCAGCAUCUUGGCCCUUUCCGAUGUGUGCCACUUAUGGUCCAUCUAUACUACCACUAUUGCUGAAUGCACAUUCAGCCUGAUUGGCAUAUUUGUAGGUCUGGCACAGCAAUCCAAAUGAAAUGUCUCCGAGUCUUAUCAAUUAAUACAGACUUGUGCUCAAAUAAAAUUACAAACCAAAAAACAAAAAAAAAC
rnacentral:lncRNA from 1 species